UUUUUUUUAAAAUGUUUGUUUUUUAAUAAAAAAAUGUUCGAAACUUUAAAAAAUAUGCGUGUUUUCAAAUAUUGUUUAUGAAUUCAAAACAUAUUCAACAAUCUCCAAAAAUCUUCUUGGUUUUGAAGAACUAUUUAGAAUGUCAAAAUAAUGUUCUUGUUUUCAAUUUUUUGUUUCAAAUUAAACAAAUGUUCGUGUUUUUGGAAAAAGGUUGGGAAUUAUUAAAAAACACUUUUAGUAAAUUGUUCACUAUUUCAAAAAAAAUGUCUCCAUUUUCAAAAAUUUCUCAGAAAUAUGUUUUCCCCUUUUUUCAAAAAUGUUCAUGUUUCCAAGAAAUGUUCUCUUUUUCCCUAAACUUUUUUUAAAAUUGUUGAAAUAAUCGAAUUAGAAAUUUCCAUAUUACUUCAAAAAAUGAACGAAAAUGAAAAAUAAAUUGGGGAGAAACCGCUAAGUGGGCGGACGUGACAAUACCGACCCGAAUUACUCGCUACCGCGACCAUCACUAUAGUCCUUUGUAAAUGGGCCGGCCCAUCCGUGGCCUCCCUUGUCUGUUGGGGCGCUGUUGGACUGUGAGAGCGUCGUAUAGGACCCCCCCUAGUGCGAGUUCCACCUUAAUCCAAUUGCCAAAAUUUUCUUCCCUUAUGUCUAGACGUAGAACUAAGAAAGAAAUAGAUUUGACUAUCAUCACCACCAUCAUCAUCAUCAUCAUCAUCAUCAUUACAAGUGGCUAAACUCUGGCGUGUGAGUAGGUCCCCUCUAAGAUGACCUCGGUACCAUUAUAUAGCAAAACUUAUGAAAGGCAUCCAUGUCGGCGUGUGGGGUGUACAUGAGUUAAAGUCAGUUCGGUGUUGCCAGGGAUGGAGCCAGGAUUCCUGCAUGGAGAGGCGGGUUUACUCAUGGAGGGUGCAAAGCUUUCAUCGAGUAAGAAAAUUUGGUUGCAGUAGCUACUACAACUAAAGAAGAAAUAGUUCAUUGCAGGGAAUCUAGCCCCCUCCCUCACGCCCUAAAUCAGCCCAUGGGUGUCAGUUUACAACAUGUUUAGGGCCUUAUUCCAUAUUCCUAGAGCAUUUCCUAAUUCUUGAUGCAUUGCAUGAUGGUAGGUCUCCAGCUAAGGCGACAGGGAAUCUUCUGGUGUCUAUGGGGUGUUUCAUAUUUUAAGGGGGGCAACCUGGCAGCAAAGGAAGGCAUAACGAUAAGUGAUUUGACUUAUCAUCAGCAAUAAGCUCUUGCGAUGACCGCAACAUCCAUGUGUUUCUCGCAUCCAAACCAUGCAGGGGAGACCAUGCGGCAUAGGCACGGGUAGGUGUGCUGGAAUAAGGCUUGGAGGAACGUGUCGCCAUCAAACGGUUCCGAUCGAUCUAUGCUUAGGGUAUCUUCAACAAGGGAUCCUCGAAACAACUGCAAACAUCCAGACCGACAUGUCCGGGCGAUGUAAGCUAUCCAACGCGAUGUUGCAUCCUCUCUCACUUCCUCGUCAGAUCCUGGUCCCAAAGGGCAAUACAUUGAGUCGGAAAGACGGGGGGCUUUCGUAAAUUCCAUUCUGUAGCCCGUAGACGCAUCCACGUGUCCGAGUCCCCGCAAACUGAAUGGAAACCAGGGAAGGUGUGCAGGAGUCCGGACAUCCACCACUUACGCGUCGGGAUGCCACAUGCACCCUCACGCCCUUCCGCCACAGGAAAGACCUCGACGAUGACUCCGACAACAACGACCACAUGGACAGCAAUGGAGAUUCCGCCAACCAGCCCGACUAGGCAUACAAGGUCACCGUCCGCUACAAAAUAGUUUUGUUUUUUAAGUUCUAGUUGAAUGGACAAAAUAUCAUCCGGUUUAUAUAAAUUACAUCAAAGUUUACGUCCAUUUACAUGAAUUCGGCCUCGUUUUAUGAUAUUUGUCCGUCUAGUUUAUUUUUGUUUGCAUUGUGGACGGAGGUUUGAGGCAAGAAUGGCCAACUUCAUAUCGUUGUCCGUGUCCGCACAAAAAUAUUAUGUCCGUUUUGCGUGCUUCAACAUCGACAGAUCUUUCGUUCAAGCAGACGAAACGGCGGACGCUGGAAUGAUACUCAGAGACCAUAAAGGACGCUCGUGAACUGCUCGGGUGCUCUUGAGGCUAAGCUUGCGGCGUGCGAUGAGGGCCUACGACUAGCGUUGCACUGGACUCAACUACCGCUUCAGAUGGAAAUGGAUUGCUCCGAAAUCAUCAAGCUGCUCAACUCUAGCCUUACAGAUCACUCUAAUAACAUGUAUCAGGUGGCUGAGAUUGCCGAGAUGUCGAAGGAACGACCUGUACACUUCCAAAAAAUCUGUAGAUCACAAAAUAAUGCUGCUCAUGCUAUGGCAGCUCUUGGUCGUAGUCACCAACGCACUGCUUGUUGGUUAGCAAACUCCCCACAGAAGAUUAGUACUAUCAUUUCAAGCAAUCGUAAGGCCAAGGUUGAUUAAUUGAAAUGGUUUUCCCCUGCAAAAAAAAAAUGUAGAUGCCCGAGUGUGGCUUCUAUCACUGCAUAUUGGUGUUCAUUUUCCAGUAUCUAUAGUUGUUUGCAAAAAUUACUUUUUUUCCUGCAUUUUCUACUCUUUUUGCUACCCGGUUAGUCCAAGGAACAUUUUCCGUACGAGGGGUAUGAAUGACGCGGUCAAAGUUGUCAAGUGAACCUAAAAAAAAGUUGUUACGUGGGCCGACCCAGUAACCGACUUGUACUUGCGUUUCGCACGAGCGAUUUAUAUUGCCUCCCUGCCCUGAACCCUACCGCACCAGAGCGGCGGAACCCCAAAUCCCCCACUCGCCAUGUCGUCAACCGCUGCCGGCGGCAAGCCAUCGCUGUCCGCCUCCGCCCUUGUCGCCGACACGGCGACCGGAUCCCACCACUUCACGAUCGACCUCUACUCGCGCACCAAGGGCAUCCCCACAGGCGAGCCCCUCAAGUCCUGCCCUUUCACCGUGGGAGGCCACCGCUGGCUCGUCCUCUACUACCCCAAUGGCGACCAGGCGGAGAACGCGGGCUACAUAUCCCUCCGCCUCAUCCUCGCCGAAAACACCUCCAGGACGCUGAGGGCGCAGCACCAGUUCCGCUUCGCCGGCGAGGCGGAGAAUCAGGCGCUGCCGCUGGCGGCGGAGCCGCUGAACAACUUCGCCGGCCUGGCGAGCUGGGGGAACUCCAAGUUCAUCCGAGCGGAGGCCCUGGAGAAAUCGAAGCAUCUCAGGGCGGACUCCUUCGCCGUCCGGUGCGACCUCAUCGUCGUCAGCGACUUCCGCGCCGUCGAGACGCCUGAGCCCGCCCCUCCGGCAUUCGUCACCGUGCCGCCGUCCGACCUUCACCUGCACCUGGGCAACCUUCUUCUCGCAGAGAAGGGGGCCGACGUGGUGUUCGAGGCCGGAGGCGAGACCUUCGCCGCGCACCGCUGCCUGAUCGCGGCCCGGUCGCCGGUGUUCAGUGCGGAGCUCUUUGGCGAGAUGAAGGAGAGCGUCGACACAACGGCUGUCGUCAAAAUAGACGACAUGGAUGCGAAGGUGUUCAAGGCAUUGCUCUAUUUUGUGUACACCGACACCUUGCCGGAGACGAAGAGGGAAGAAGCAGGGGAAGACGCCAUGUCUCAACAUCUGCUUGUCGCAGCCGACAAGUAUAACCUGGACAGGCUAAAGCUGAUCUGCGAAGACAAACUUUGCAGGUGCAUCCAAGUGAGCACUGUGGCGACAAUCUUGGUGUUGGCUGAGCAACACCAUUGCAGUGGCCUGAAGAAGGCAUGCUUUGAUUUUCUCAGCUCUCAGGCGAAUCUGAAGGCAGCCAUGGCCAGUGACGGCUUUGAGCAUCUGAGCCAAAGCUGCCCCGCUAUCAUGAAGGAGUUGAUCUCUAUGCUCAGCGCCUUGGUUCCGUGAUGCUUACCUAGUGUUCUACGAAUGGUGGUUGGUGUUCCCAGGAUUUCUGUCAUCACGUAGUUUUAGCAAUGGCAGUUCUUGUUAUCUAGACUUAGGCUAUCAGGUAAGGCUGCAUCUAUUCUAGGGAUGAUCUAAAGUAGUCUCAUUUUGUCUGUUCUGUUAGCUGAUUGUAUCUCUAAAACUCUGUCAGUUAGUCAUGAAUAUCUUUGCUCUACUCAGCUAGCUUGGUUGGUUGAAUCUCCGGUUGGCAUGCAAAUUUGCUAGGCCAUCUUUUUUACAUACAAGUCAUUUUUAGUAUUAUAAUGCUCACUGCUCAGCGUCAACAAUGCUACUCUCUGCUUUCUAUAGCUGCAUCUAUGCUUGGUUCGUGCAAAAGCCUGACCAGUGCUUUUCUAUAACCUAGUCCGUUAAUUUGGAAUGACUUCGCUAUCAGGCAGAUAGUUCAUUACAUUUUGCAUGGUAUGCUUUGGAUGAGUAAUGCAAGAUAAUUCUUGCUUUAUCUCCGGUCAAGUACAUACAGUAGUAGCUAGAGAACUGUUGACAGCAUUAAGGGACAAGUACAUAGAAGGAAAGAAUGAAAUACAUGUAGUAAUUUGAUGAACAGUCAGGUCACAAGUUGUGUGGCUCAAAUUUGCUGGUCUCUGAAAUUUCGCUGAGCGCCUGUCUUGCUCUGUGAAAUUGCCGAGAGCACUGCAUGGCUGCUUGUAUAUUUCCUCUGUUUAUUCAUCUUUUGUAUGGUGCUGGUUGCUGUUCGCUCAGCACCCUUGGGUUAAUUGUGAUCCAUAGAAAGUUAUGUUCGUGCAGCAAGUCCAUGCGUGUUUUUGUUCAUAUUUUUUUGGUUGACAAUCGAUUUUUUUGUUCGACGAAUAUGUUUUUCUGGUUUGUCGGAGCUGACACACUUUGUUUAGUUGGUCAAUACAAAAAAUACUAUUCUCUCUUUUAGCGAUCUAAAAGAUCUUAUAUUAGUCUAGAUACAACCAUUUUUAGGACAAGUAUUUCCGGACGGAGGAAGUACUCCCUCCUUUCCGGUUUAUAGGGCUCAAUUCAAAAAUCUCACCAAGGUAGAUGGUGAAUGGUGGAAUAUUUUUUGUAGUUUACAAAAGCACCUAAUUGCAUUGGUCAAUUUUCUCUUAAUACUUGCAUGCAAUGAUUUAAUGCACUUUGGAAUCUGAACAUGUGACGGGGAACAACCAAAUUGAGCCUUAUAAAAUGGAAAAACUAAAAUUUUGAGAUAAGCCCUAUAAACCGGAAAGGAGGGAGUAGUACUCAUUUCUUGAAAGAAAAGAUUGAUUUUUUGCGCGAACAGUCAAACUAAGGAUCCUCUGUAAGUCACCAUCUUCAGGGGCGUUCUGUUGUUCUUUAGACAAAACUACGUGUUUCCAUCUCAGCUUUAGUGUGUUUAUGUUGGACGCUCGUAUGUGUACCUGCUGUUUCAGGUUGUUUGUUCGGCCACUCAGCAUCAGCAUUGGGCUUCUCGAUCUCUGCUUCUCUAGUCGAGUUAUAUAUAUAUAUAUAUAUAUAUACUAUAAAAGAACGCACUGUCGAAAUUUAAUAAGGUUUGAAAAGAACAGGAAGAUCCUUUGUUCAUGCCAAGAGGCAGAUGGCUCCUGGCUUGCUGAAUCUUCACCGUGACGCUGGCUGUAGCUUCAUGGAAAAACUGAUGAAAUUCUUUAUUGGAUCAUGCUGAAGGAACUACUACAUGUCCCAUUAACAUAGUAAUCAGCACAAAUUCACAACCUGUUACCAACGCUGGUGCGCAUCACAGCCUUAAUGUUCCUGCAUAAACGGAGCCACGGUACUCCACUCCAGCCGUAACAUCACGACACGGAUGUGUAUGAAUACGAAUCAUUAUGAUACGACGCAAACAGCAAGCAAAAGUUGAUAUUCCAUGCCAUGCCAGGUUGCAAACCAGGACACGGCCACGACUCAUAGUUCUCCACAAACUUCACAAAGCUACGUUGCACUACUCAGUACUCGCCACCGCACAUCAAGGUGACAGCAGCAGCAGCAAACACAGACCAGGCCGCCGCUGCCGCACCGAUUAUUAUUAUUAUUCAGGAAAAACGAAGCAAAAAAAGGCCUUCAGUAAAACAGAGGACGAACCGAGCUGACGACGUCACGACGAUAGCCGUGGCGCGAGCGGAGAGGGUCGCGGUUCAGGCCUCAGAGCGCCUUGAGCAUGUCCUCAGCGCUGCUGUUGGUGAAGGCGCCGCCCUCCUCGAGGUUGAGCACCUUGACCACGCCGUCGUCGGCCAGCAGCGCGUAGCGGCGCGACCGGACGCCGAGCCCCACCGGCUUGUCCGACAGGUCCAGCUCCACGCCCAUGGCGCGCGUCAGCUCCCCGUUGCCGUCCGACAGCAGCAGCACCUCGUCGCCGACGCCGAGGCUCUCCUUCCACGCGCGCAUCACGAAGGCGUCGUUGACGGAGACGCAGGCCACGGUGUCCACCCCCUUGGCGCGCAGCUCCCCGGCCCUGGCCACGAACCCCGGGAGGUGCUUCUGGGUGCAGGUGGGCGUGAACGCGCCCGGGACCGCGAACAGGACCACCUUCUUGCCCGCGGUGAGGUCGCGGACCGUCACCAUCUUCAGCUCGCCGUCGGGGGCGUCGAAGUAGGAGAGCGUCGCGUCGGGGAGCCGGUCGCCGACCGCGAUGGUGGUUGUGGCGGCCGGGGACGCGGUCGCGGAGAGGACCCGCGUCGCCGCGCGGGGCAGGGGCCCGGCGCGGAGGGGCCCCGCGGGCGCGAGGCGGCGGGAGGCGAAAGAGAGGGAGGAGGCGGGGCCGCGCGAGAGGAGGACGCGCCUGGCCCCCGCGGCGGCGGCGGUGGCCGAGAGGGUGGCGAGGGCGGAGGUGGCCAUGGAGGGAGGCUAGGUGUUCGAGGAAAUGCGCUGUCUGUUGUUUGACUUCGGGGCGAGCGAGGCUAGGGUGGGGGAUUUGGGGAGCGUGAUCCCGACUCCGAGCGGCGGGAGCUGGCCCUAUGUGGGGGUGGGGAUGGGUGGAGAAAGCAGGGCGGCGGGAGGUGGCUUUUGCCUUUUGCGUUGCUUGGGCUGGGCAAGAGCUACUUCUCUUUGAGAAUGUUCAUCUGUCCUUUUCUAUUUUUAUUAACAAAAACAAUAUAAAUACUAGACAAAAUAUGGAGGGUCAGGAUUGUUUGUUCAAAAUUGUAGAGCUUAUUUCGUGAAUUUGUACAAAGACGGGGUGAAGGCAUUUCGAAUGGCAAACAUCAGGUGGACGCCCAGAGGAGGGGAAGGUUGUAGGGGAACGCACCCGUUCUUGCUCUUGCUUGAUGGGGUGUCCGAUAUGGAUGAGGCGACGGGGACAAUGCUUGCUGCGGGCUUGGUCGAGCACCGAGUUUUGAAGCGCUAGUCAGAUUUGUUGCUCGAACUCGGAUUUCGUCAUCGGGGCUCGGAGCGACGGGUCCUACUCCCACCCAACCUCCGACCAGUUGAUGUCGAUGUCGUCGUCUUCCUUGUCGGUGGGCUCCUCCUUGCCGGAUUGCGCGGUGGAAGACAAGGGGGCGGCGAAGCGCAGCGUCGAGGCUCCGCGGGCGGGCGAGAGCAUGUGGCGGCGAUGUGUCUCCGUGCUGGCAGCGGGCGUCAGACUCCUUGGUCGUCUUCGACCGGUUCAGCACCCAGGUUGUGUGAGCACUGGGUCUGUGAGAUCGUGCAACGGCGCCACCUGCAAUCUUCGAGGACCAUAGCGGCGGGUCCCUUUCCCGUUUGAGCUUCGUCCAACCAACGUCAAUGCCAUCAAUGAGCUCCUCCUUGAAGACGGCCGGCGCAAGCGUGAUAUCAAGGCUCGUCAAGCGAGCACAUGAUGGCGAUGUGUCUCCAUGAUGGUGUGGAUUGGGCUCGAGCUUCCAUCGAAUCUCACCAGCGAUGGCACAUCGGACCAGUAGCCGCCAAGUUACCACAUUAUCUGGUUGCCCAUCAUGGCGGGGCGACGACUAGGGUUUUGGCAGGGAAGUGGAUUGUAUGAGAGUGAGGAAGGAUGAUUAAAAAGUGAGGUGGGGCCAAGCUGUCAUGCCAACAUGGUGGACGUCUCGACUCCCCUACUUUGUCCCUCAAUUUGAGACCGGCCUGAUUUGCACACGUCGGGCUCACAAUGUGGUUCGCAUUCGAGGCCUAAAAGUGACUUUGUCCUCUCAACUUCUAGUAACACUAUAAAUGAUGGAAUGUCCCUUUUUCUAAGAAAAGACACCCAAAGAGCAUAUCAUAUUUGAUCUGUCAAGUAAAAUAGUGGACAAUACAAUCAAUGGACAACAUAAGACAAAAAUUGUCUUCUGCCUUUGUUUGCUCAUCGUCUGCUGAAGCUUAAAAGUACAUUCAACAAGUAGUAAGGGAUAUGGACAUCUGCAGACGUCAUCACCAUACAAAGCCUUUGAAGACCGUGAUACAUUAGCCGUUGAAGAAACGUUGGUCGAGAUAACGCAGGUUUGCAAUCGUUCACCAUCAAUCCAGAAGGUUGUAGAAACCGAACUUUGCCGUAGAACAAAACGAAUGAAGAGGUCAAAGUCGUCACUCACAUUAAUAGCCAACCAGCUGCAUGAUCAGAAGAAGACCUGUAGAUCGGGCAACACGUACCCUCACAGGCUCUUUCGUUGACACCAAAUUGGAAUAUAUUUACUUUUUAGAGCAUCCGGAGAGCCCAGAAAGUCCCCCCUGUUUUCCGAAAGUGAAAGCAGAAAAAACAAAUUUUGUCUAGGAAAAAACAAAUUUUGUUUACGUUUAUUACACAGACCAGGGAUAAAUUUCCCGCCUUUUUAAGCUCCAAUUAAGUGCUACUAAAAUGAGAACAUAAGCUACAUUUCCUAAGCUGGGAGAAAAGGGGAUGCCCCCCCCAAUGCCACGCCUUGCUCUAGUGCAGCUUCAACACCUAUCACGACCUUGAUUUUGAGCUUCUUCAUCGGGGGUGGAGUAGGAGAGUGCAGCAGCUCCAGUGGCGUAGAUGGGCUAAGGGAGGAUGUUUUCUUGAUCGAAGCACCAGGGGGUAGGUAGGGGGGACGGGGGAUUCCCAGCGGCCUUGAUUCAGGUCCAGCUAGGGAGAGCUUGAUGAGGACACCAGCAAGGUCCGGGUAGCCUACCCCAGCGUCACUUGGAUUGGUGCUCAAAGCAGGGAUUUUUACCAUCACUAGCACAGUGCCCGUGUGUUGCUACGGAGCUAUUAAAAAGGAGAGACGUUAGGCCACCACCGACUUAGAAGAUGAUCAAAAGAUGGUAGUAUAUAUCUUGCACGAUUCACGAUUGAAGAGAGCAAAAAUACAGUAAGAGGGAUGAGGUAGGUAUUGAAGAAUUUGAUGUGACCGUAGUAGGUCCUUUGAAAGAUAUAUAGUGAGACAACAUUUUUAAUUUAGAAACAUGGGAGAAUGGGCAUUACAGUUUGUUCAAUCUCCUAUGGUAUGAUAUAGAACUUGGAAUUUUUGUUAGGAGAGAAACUAAAACUAAAAUGAUGAUCUUAAGUUGGGAGUCAUAUUGUUUGCAAUUGUUAUUUGUGUCUUCUAUCUGAGCGUUGGCUUCCCAUUAAAGUAGUAGAUUAUUUGUUUGUUUGUGUUAGGUCCCACACAUGGGUAAAAUACAAUUGUUUAUGUCUCUUGGAAGUUUGUUACUUCCACAUGUGAAUGAAAGGAGGGGUGUAUUUGUUUAUUGCAAUGAUUGUUGGUCCCACAUGUGAACUCAUCACCAACUCCAACCUUUAUAAGUAGGAAAAAAUAGUAAAGGCAUCUAUCUGCUGCAACUUGCAAGUGCUCCUCCUUGAACAGUGUUCGAAGUAACAAUGGAAAUGCCUGUCCUCGAUCGAUGGUUACAUGACCCUUAUAUACAAUCUGGAAGGACACGGCGAUCCAACGAGGAGACGUCGGUUCCAGGGAGAUGAGGGGCAGAGGCGUCCGUUGCGGGAGAGAUCGCAACGGCCUGUACGGGCAAGGGGAGAUUUUCCCUAAUUAUAGUUAAUCUUAACACUCCCCUUAAUCUACGCUUGACCAUGUAGUAUCAUCUCAUGAUUGUCCGGGUAGAUCAUGUAGUAUCAUCUCAUGAUUGUCCGGGUAGCUCAUGUAGUAUCAUCUCAUGAUUGUGCGGAUAGCUCUAUUAUCUCAAAAAAUUCUUCUCCAAAAGUUCUUCACAAAAAUCUUUGAUGAGAACCUGAAAUACAAACUCACAGAGAGAAACCGCGUAAUGUGAUGUUUGAACAAGGAUAUCUCAAGAAGCGACUCCCCCUGACGCUUGCAAGUCCCGAAGUCAUCGCAUACCAAUUCCAUGAACAUAUUUCUGGAAUGUAGAAUUUGGUAGAGACUUGGUAAAUAAAUCAGCAAGAUCUUCGCAUGUUUUAAUUUGCAAGACAUUUAUUUCCCCGCUUUGCGGAAGAUCAUGGGGGAAAACCACUUAGGAGAAAUAUGCUUAGUGAUAUUACUCUUGAUGUAUCAUGUUUGCAUCUGUGCAACACAAGACGCAUUAUCUUCAUAGAUAAUGGUUGGUGAUUCUAUCGAACCAAUUCCACAUGGCUGUUGUAUGUGGUUUAUCAUUCUGCGAAGCCAUACACAUUCGCAUGUUGCUUCAAAUAAUGAGAUUAUUUCAGAAUGAUUGGUAGAUGUGUUGGGGAACGCAGUAAUUUCAAAAAAAAUCCUACGAUCACGCAAGAUCUAUCUAGAAGAUGCAUAGCAACGAGAGGGGAGAGUGUGUCCACAUACCCUCGUAGACUGAAAGCGGAAGCGUUUAGUAACGCGGUUGAUGUAGUCGAACUUCUUCGCGAUCCAACCGAUCCAAGUACGGAAUGUACGGCACCUCCUCGUUCAGCACACGUUCAGCUCGAUGACGUCCCUCAUACUCUUGAUCCAGUUGAGGCCGAGGGAUAGUUCCGUCAGCACAACGGCAUGGCGACGGUGAUGAUGAUGUUACCGGUGCAGGGCUUCGCCUAAGCACUAUGGCGAUAUGACCGAGGUGUGUAAUUGUGGAGGGGGGCAUCGCACACGGCUAAAAGACCAACUUGUGUGUUCUAGGGUGCCCCCCUGCCCCCAUAUAUAAAGGAGGGAGGGGGAGGCCGGCCGGCCCUAGGGGCGCGCCCAAGGAGAGGGAGUCCUACUAGGACUCCAAGUCCUAGUAGGAUUCCACUUGGUGGAAGGGGGAAGGAAGGGAGAGGGAGAGGGAGAGGGAAAGGGAAAGGGGGGCCGCGCCCCCUCCCCUAGUCCUAUUCGGACUCCCCAUGGGGGGGCGCAUGCCUCCCCUAUGUGGGCUGUCCUCUCUCUCCCCUAUGGCCCAUGAUGGCCCAUUGCUUCCCCGGGGGGUUCCGGUAACCCCUCCGCACUCCGUUUUUAUCCGGAACACUUCCGGUAUCCAAAUAACAUGGUCCAAUAUAUCAAUCUUUAUGUCUCGGCCAUUUCGAGACUCUUCGUCACGUCCGUGAUCCCAUCCGGGACUCCGAACAAACUUCGGUCAUCAAAACACAUAACUCAUAAUACAAAUCGUCAUCAAACGUUAAGCGUGCGGACCCUACGGGUUCGAGAACUAUGUAGACAUGACCGAGUGUUGGGGAACGUAGUAAUUUCAAAAAAAAUCCUACGCACACGCAAGAUCAUGGUGAUGCAUAGCAACGAGAGGGGAGAGUGUUGUCCACGUACCCUCGUAGACCGAAAAAGCGGAAGCGUUAGCACAGCGCGGUUGAUGUAGUCGUAUGUCUUCACGAUCCGACCGAUCAAGUACCGAACGCACGGCACCUCCGAGUUCAGCACACGUUCAGCCCGAUGACGUCCCUUGAACUCCGAUCCAGCCGAGUGUUGAGGGAGAGUUUCAUCAGCAGGACGGCGUGGUGACGAUGAUGAUGUUCUACCGACGCAGGGCUUCGCCUAAGCACCGCUACAGUAUUAUCGAGGUGGACUAUGGUGGAGGGGGCACCGCACACGGCUAAAAGAUCAAAUCAAUUGUUGUGUCUCUAGGGUGCCCCCUGCCCCCGUAUAUAAAGGAGCAAGGGGGAAGGUGCGGACGGCCAGGAGGAGGCGCGCCAGGAGGAGUCCUACUCCCACCGGGAGUAGGACUCCCUCCCUUCCUUGUUGGAUUAGGAGAAGGGGGAAAGAAGAGGAAGAGAGGAAGGAAAGGGGGGCGCCGCCCCCUCUCCUUGUCCUAUUCGGACUAGAGGGGGAGGGGCGCGCGGCUCUGCCCUAGCCGCCUCUCCUCUUCUCCACUAAGGCCCACUAUGGCCCAUUAAACCCCCGGGGGGUUCCGGUAACCCCUCCGGUACUCCGGUAAAAUCCCGAUUUCACCCGGAACACUUCCGAUAUCCAAAUAUAGGCUUCCAAUGUAUCAGUCUUCAUGUCUCGACCAUUUCGAGACUCCUCGUCAUGUCUGUGAUCACAUCCGGGACUCCGAACAACCUUCGGUACAUCAAAACUCAUAAACUCAUAAUAUAACCGUCAUCGAAACUUUAAGCGUGCGGACCCUACGGGUUCGAGAACUAUGUAGACAUGACCGAGACACGUCUCCGGUCAAUAACUAAUAGCGGAACCUGGAUGCUCAUAUUGGCUCCCACAUAUUCUACGAAGAUCUUUAUCGGUCAAACUGCAUAACAACAUACAUUGUUCCCUUUGUCAUCGGUAUGUUACUUGCCCGAGAUUCGUCGUCGGUAUCUCAAUACCUAGUUCAAUCUCGUUACCGGCAAGUCUCUUUACUCGUUCCGUAAUACAUCAUCCCGCAACUAACUCAUUAGUUGCAAUGCUUGCAAGGCUUAAGUGAUGUGCAUUACCGAGUGGGCCCAGAGAUACCUCUCCGACAAUCGGAGUGACAAAUCCUAAUUUCGAAAUACGCCAACCCAACAAGUACCUUCGGAGACACCUGUAGAGCACCUUUAUAAUCACCCAGUUACGUUGUGACGUUUGGUAGCACACAAAGUGUUCCUCCGGUAAACGGGAGUUGCAUAAUCUCAUAGUCAUAGGAACAUGUAUAAGUCAUGAAGAAAGCAAUAGCAACAUACUAAACGAUCGAGUGCUAAACUAACGGAAUGGGUCAAGUCAAUCACAUCAUUCUCCUAAUGAUGUGAUCCCGUUAAUCAAAUGACAACUCAUGUCAAUGGCUAGGAAACAUAACCAUCUUUGAUCAACGAGCUAGUCAAGUAGAGGCAUACUAGUGACACUCUGUUUGUCUAUGUAUUCACACAAGUAUUAUGUUUCCGGUUAAUACAAUUCUAGCAUGAAUAAUAAACAUUUAUCAUGACAUAAGGAAAUAAAUAAUAACUUUAUUAUUGCCUCUAGGGCAUAUUUCCUUCACCGAGACACAUCUCCGGUCAAUAACCAAUAGCAGAACCUGGAUGCUCAUAUUGGCUCCUACAUAUUCUACGAAGAUCUUUAUCGGUCAAACCGCAUAACAACAUAUGUUGUUCCCUUUGUCAUCGGUAUGUUACUUGUGCGAGAAUCGAUCGUCGGUAUCAUCAUACCUAGUUCAAUAUCGUUACUGGCAAGUCUCUUUACUCGUUCCGUAAUACUUCAUCCCGCAACUAACACAUUAGUCGCAUUGCUUGCAAGGCUUAUAAUGAUGAGCAUUACCGAGAGGGCCCAGAGAUACCUCUCCGAAACACGGAGUGACAAAUCCUAAUCUCGAUCUAUGCCAACCCAACAAAUACCUUCGGAGACACCUGUAGAGCAUCUUUAUAAUCACCCAUUUACGUUGUGAUGUUUGAUAGCACACAAAGUGUUCCUCCGGUAUUCGGGAGUUGCAUAAUCUCAUAGUCUGAGGAACAUGUAUAAGUCAUGAAGAAAGCAGUAGCAAUGAAACUGUAACGAUCAUAAUGCCAAGCUAAAGAAUGGGUCUUGUCCAUCACAUCAUUCUCUAAUGAUGUGAUCCCGUUCAUCAAAUGACAACACAUGUCUAUGGUCAGGAAACUUAACCAUCUUUGAUUAACGAGCUAGUCUAGUAGAGGCAUACUAGGGACACUUUGUUUUGUCUAUGUAUUCACACAUGUAUCAAGUUUCUGGUUAAUACAAUUCUAGCAUGAAUAAUAAAAAUUUAUCAUGAUAUAAGGAAAUAUAAAUAAAAACUUUAUUAUUGCCUCUAGGGCAUAUUUCCUUCAGUCUCCCACUUGCACUAGAGUCAAUAAUCUAGUUCACAUCGCCAUGUGAUUUAACACCAAUAGUUCACAUCGUCAUGUGAUUUAACACUCUAUAGUUCACAUCGCCAUGUGACCAAUACCCAAAAGGUUUACUAGAGUCAAUAAUCUAGUUCACAUCGCCAUGUGAUUAACACCCAAAGACUACUAAGGUGUGAUCAUGUUUUGCUUCUGACAUAAGUUUAGUCAACGGGUCUGCCACAUUCAGAUCCGUAUGUAUUUUGCAAAUUUCUAUGUCUACAAUGCUCUGCACGGAGCUACUCUAGCUAAUUGCUCCCACUUUCAAUAUGUAUCCAGAUUGAGACUUAGAGUCAUCUGGAUCAGUGUCAAAGCUUGCAUCGACGUAACCCUUUACGACAAACCUUUUUGUCACUUCCAUAUCCGAGAAACAUAUCCUUAUUCCACUGUAGAUAAUUUUGACCGUUGUCCAGCGAUCCACUCCUGGAUCACUAUUGUACCCUCUUGCCAAACUCAUGGUGAGGUACACAAUAGGUUUGGUACACAGCAUAGCAUACUUUAUAGAACCUAUGACUGAGGCAUGUGGUCGGGUUUUGAGUCUUUACUCAAUUUCACACCUUGCAACACACGCAAGAACUCCUUCUUUGACUGUUCCAUUUUGAACUACUUCAAAAUCUUGUCAAGGUAUGUACUCAUUGAAAAACUUAUCAAGUGUUUUGAUCUAUCCCUAUAGAUCUUGAUGCUCAAUAUGUAAGCAGCUUCACCGAGGUAUUUCUUUGAAAAACUCCUUUCGAACACUCCUUUAUGCUUUCCAGAAAUUUCUACAUCAUUUCCGAUCAACAAUAUGUCUUUCACAUAUACUUAUCAGAAAGGCUGUAAUGCUCCCACUCACUUUCUUGUAAAUACAGGCUUCACUACAAGUUUGUAUAAAACUAUAUGCUUUGAUCAACUCAUCAAUGCAUAUAUUCCAACUCCGAGAUGCUUGCACCAGUCCAUAGAUGGAUCGCUGGAGCUUGCACACUUUGUUAGCACCUUUAGGAUUGAUAAAACCUUCUUGUUGUAUCAUAUACAACUCUUCUUUAAGAAAUCCAUUAAGGAAUGCAAUUUUGACAUCCAUUUGCCAGAUUUCAUAAAAUGUGGCAAUGCUAACAUGAUUCGGACAGACUUAAGCAUCGCUAUGAGUGAGAAAUUCUCAUCGUAGUCAACACCUUGAACUUGUCGAAAACUUUUUGUGACAAUUUGAGCUUUGUAGAUAGUAACUCUUGUUGGGGAACGUAGUAAUUUCAAAAAAAAUCAUACGCACACGAAGAUCAUGGUGAUGCAUAGCAACGAGAGGGGAGAGUGUUGUCCACGUACCCUUGCAGACCGUAAGCGGAAGCGUUAUGACAACGCGGUUGAUAUAGUCGUACGUCUUCAUGAUCGACCGAUCCUAAUACCGAAAGUACGACACCUCCGCGAUCUGCACACGUUCGGCUCGAUGACGUCCCAUGAACUCACGAUUUAUGCCAACCCAACAAAUACCUUCGGAGACACCUCUAGAGCAUCUUUAUAAUCACCCAUUUAUGUUGUGACGUUUGAUAGCACACAAAGUGUUCCUCCGGUAUUCGGGAGUUGCAUAAUCUCAUAGUCUGAGGAACAUGUAUAAGUCAUGAAGAAAGCAGUAGCAAUGAAACUGUAAUGAUCAUAAUGCUAAGCUAACGAAUGGGUGUUGUCCAUCACAUCGUUCUCCUAAUGAUGUGAUCCCGUUCAUCAAAUGACAACACAUGUCUAUGGUUAGGAAACAUAACCAUCUUUGAUAAACGAGCUAGUCAAGUAGAGGCAUACUAGGGACACUUUGUUUUGUCUAUGUAUUCACACAUGUACUAAGUUUUCGGUUAAUACAAUUCUAGCAUGAAUAAUAAACAUUUAUCAUGAAAUAAGGAAAUAAAUAAUAACUUUAUUAUUGCCUCUAGGGCAUAUUUCCUUCAGUCUCCCACUUGCACUAGAGUCAAUAAUCUAGUUCACAUCGCCAUGUGAUUUAACACCAAUAGUUCACAUCACCAUGUGAUUAACACCCAUAGUUCACAUCGCCAUGUGACCAACACUCAAAGGGUUUACUAGAGUCAGUAAUCUUAGUUCACAUCACCAUGUGAUUAACACCCAAAGAGUUCUAAGGUGUGAUCAUGUUUUGCUUGUGAGAGAAGUUUAGUCAACGGGUCUGCCAUAUUCAAAUCCGUAUGUAUUUUGCAAAUUUCUAUGUCAACAAUGCUCUGCACGAAGCUACUCUAGCUAAUUGCUCUCACUUUCAAUAUGUAUCCAGAUUGAUACUUAGAGUCAUCUGGAUCAGUGUUAAAACUUGCAUUGGCGUAACCCUUUACGACGAACCUUUUGUCACCUCCAUAAUCGAGAAACAUAUCCUUAUUCCACUAAGGAUAAUUUUGACCGCUGUCCAGUGAUCUACUCCUAGAUCACUAUUGUACUCCCUUGCCAAAAUCAGUGUAGGGUAUACAAUAGAUCUGGUACACAGAAUGGCAUACUUUAUAGAACCUAUAGCUGAGGCAUAGGGAAUGACUUUCAUUCUCUUUCUAUCUUCUGCCGUGGUCGGGCUUUGAGUCUUACUCAAUUUCACACCUUGCAAUACAGGCAAGAACUCCUUCUUUGACUGUUCCAUUUUGAACUACUUCAAAAAUUUGUCAAGGUAUGUACUCAUUGAAAAAACUUAUCAAGCGUCUUGAUCUAUCUCUAUAGAUCUUGAUGCUCAAUAUGUAAGCAGCUUCAUCGAGGUCUUUCUUUGAAAAACUCCUUUCAAACACUCCUUUUAUGCUUUCCAGAAAAUUCUACAUCAUUUCCGAUCAACAAUAUGUCAUUCACAUAUACUUAUCAGAAAGGUUGUAGUGCUCCCACUCACUUUCUUGUAAAUACAGGCUUCACCGCAAGUCUGUAUAAAACUAUAUGCUUUGAUCACACUAUCAAAACGUAUAUUCCAACUCCGAGAUGCUUGCACCAGUCCAUAGAUGGAUCGCUGGAGCUUUGCACACUUUGUUAUUACCUUUAGGAUCGACAAAACCUUCUGGUUGCAUCACAUACAACUCUUAUUUAAGAAAUCCAUUAAGGAAAGCAGGUUUGACAUCCAUUUGCCAAAUUUCAUAAAAUGCGGCAAUUGUUAACAUGAUUUGGACAGACUUUUAAGCAUCGAUACAAGUGAGAAAAUCUCAUCGUAGUCAACACCUUGAACUUGUCGAAAACAUUUUUGCGACAAUUCGAGCUUUGUAGAUAGUAACACUACUAUCAGCGUUUGUCUUCCUCUUGAAGAUCCAUUUAUUCUCUAUUGCUUGCCGAUCAUCGGGCAAGUCAUCCAAAGUCCAUACUUUGUUCUCGUACAUGGAUCCCAUCUCAGAUUCUAUGGCCUCAAGCCAUUUCGCGGAAUCUGGGCUCAUCAUCGCUUCCUCAUAGUUCGUAGGUUUGUCAUGGUCUAGUAACAUGACUUCCAGAACCGGAUUACCGUACCACUCUGGUGCAGAUCUUAUUCUGGUUGACCUAUGAGGUUCGGUAGUAACUUGAUCUGAAGUUUCAUGAUCAUCAUCAUUAGCUUCCUCACUAAUUGGUGUAGGAAUCACUGGAACUGAUUUCUGUGAUGAACUACUUUCCAAUUCGGGAGAAGGUACAAUUACCUCAUCAAGUUCUACUUUCCUCCCACUCACUUCUUUCAAGAGAAAAUCCUUCUCUAGAAAGGAUCCACUCUUAGCAACAAAGAUCUUGCCUUCGGAUCUGUGAUAGAAGGUGUACCCAAUAGUUUCUUUCGGGUAUCCUAUGAAGACGCAUUUCUCCGAUUUGGGUUCGAGCUUAUCAGGUUGAAGCUUUUUCACAUAAGCAUCGCAGCCCCAAACUUUAAGAAAUGGCAGCUUAGGUUUCUUGCCAAACCAUAGUUCAUACGGUGUCAUCUCAAUGGAUUUAGAUGGUGCCCUAUUUAACGUGAAUGUAGCUGUCUCUAAUGCAUAACCCCAAAAACGAUAGUGGUAAAUUGGUAAGAGACGUCAUAGAUUGCACUGUAUCCAAUAAAGUACGGUUAUGACGUUCGGACACACCAUUACGCUGUGGUGUUCCGAGUGGCAUGAGUUUGUGAAACUAGUCCACAUUGUUUUAAUUGAAGGCCAAACUCGUAACUCAAAUAUUUUUUCUACAAUCAGAUCGUAGAAACUUUAUUUUCUUGUUACAAUGAUUCUCUACUUCACUCUGAAAAUCUUUGAACUUUUCAAGUGUUUCAGACUUGUGUUUCAUCAAGUAGAUAUACACAUAUCUGCUCAAAUCAUCUGUGAAGGUCAGAAAACAAUGAUACCCGUCGUGAGCCUCAAUACUCAUUGGACCGCAUACAUCGGUAUGUAUUAUUUCCAAUAAGUCAGUGGCUCGCUCCAUUGUUCCGGAGAACGGAGUCUUAGUCAUCUUGCCCAUGAGGCAUGGUUUGCAAGCAUCAAGUGAUUCAUAAUCAAGUGAUUCCAAAAGCCCAUCAACAUGGAGUUUCUUCAUGCGCUUUACACCAAUAUGACCUAAACGGCAGUGCCACAAAUAAGUUGCACUAUCAUUAUUAACUUUGCAUCUUUUUGGCUUCAAUAUUAUGAAUAUGUGUAUCACUACAAUCGAGAUCCAACAAACUAUUUUCAUUGGGUGUAUGACCAUCGAACGUUUUAUUCAUGUAAACAGAACAACAAUUAUUCUUUGACUUUAAAUGAAUAACCGUAUUGCAAUAAACAUGAUCAAAUCAUACUCAUGCUCAAUGCAAACACCAAAUAGCAUUUAUUUAGGUUCAACACUAAUCCCGAAAGUAUAGGGAGUGUGCGAUGAUGAUCAUAUCAAUCUUGGAACCACUUCCAACACACAUCGUCACUUUACCCUUAACUAGUCUCUGUUCAUUCUGCAACUCCCGUUUCAAGUUACUAAUCUUAGCAACUGAACCAGUAUCAAAUACUGAGGGGUUGCCAUAAACACUAGUAAAUUACACAUCAAUAACAUGUAUAUCAAUUAUACCUUUGUUCACUUUGCCAUCCUUCUUAUCCGCCAAAUACUUGGGGUAGUUCCGCUUCCAGUGACCAGUCCCUUUGCAGUAGAAGCACUUAGUCUCAGGCUUAGGUCUAGACUUGAGCUUCUUCACUUGAGCAGCAACUUGCUUGCCGUUCUUCUUGAAGUUUCCCUUCUUCCCUUUGCCCUUUUUCUUGAAACUAGUGGUCUUGUCAACCAUCAACACUUGAUGCUUUUCUUGAUUUCUACCUUCGCCGAUUUUAGCAUCGCAAAGAGCUUGGGAAUUGUUUUCGUCAUCCCUUGCAUAUUAUAGUUCAUCACGAAGUUCUAGUAACUUGGUGAUAGUGACUAGAGAACUUUUGUCAAUUACUAUCUUAUCUGGAAGAUUAACUCCCACUUGAUUCAAGUAAUUGUAGUACCCAGACAAUCUGAGCACAUGCUCACUUGUUGAGCUAUUCUUCUCCAUCUUGUAGGCAAAGUACUAUCAGAGGUCUCAUACCUCUUGACACGGGCAUGAGUAUGAAAUACCAAUUUCAACUCUUGGAACAUCUUAUAUGCUCCGUGGCGUUCAAAACAUUUUUGAAGUCCCGGUUCUAAGCCGUAAAGCAUGGCGCACUUAACUAUCAAGUAGUCAUCAUACCGAGCUUGUCAAAACGUUCAUAACGUCUGCAUCUGCUCCUGCAAUAGUUCUGUCACCUAGCGGUGCAUCAAGGACAUAAUUUUUCUGUGCAACAAUGAGGAUAAUCCUCAGAUCACGGAUCCAAUCCGCGUCAUUGCUACUAACAUCUUUCAACUUUAUUUUUCUCUAGGAACAUAUCAAAAAAUAAACGAAGAGCUACAUCGCGAGCUAUUAAUCUACAACAUAAUUUGCAAAUACUAUCAGGACCAAGUUUAUGAUAAAUUAAAGUUCAAUUAAUCAUAUUACUUAAGAACUCCCACUUAGAUAGACAUCCCUCUAGUCAUAUAAAUGAUCACGUGAUCCAUAUCAACUAAACCAUGUCCGAUCAUCAUGUGAGAUGGAGAAGUUUUCAAUGGUGAACAUCACUAUGUUGAUCAUAUCUACUAUAUGAUUCACGCUCGACCUUUCGGUCUCCAGUGUUCCGAGGCCAUAUCUGCAUAUGCUAGGAUCGUCAAGUUUAACUCGAGUAUUCCGCGUGUGCAAAACUGGCUUGCACCCGUUGUAUGUGAACGUAGAGCUUAUCACACCCGAUCAUCAUGUGGUGUCUCAGCACAAAGAACUGUCACAAUGGUGCAUACUCAGGGAGAACACUUAUACCUUGAAAUUUUAGUAAGGGGUCAUCUUAUAAAGCUACCGCCGAACUAAGCAAAAUAAGAUGUAUAAAAGAUAAACAUCACAUGCAAUCAAAAUAUGUGACAUGAUAUGGCCAUCAUCAUCUUGUGCUUUUGAUCUCCAUCUCCAAAGUACUGUCAUGAUAUCCAUUGUUACUGGCAUGACACCAUGAUCUCCAUCAUCUUGAUCUUUUAUCAACGUGUUGUGACAUGGUCGUCUCACCAGCUAUUGCUUUCGCAACUAUUGCUAUCGCAUAGCGAUAAAGUAAAGCAAUUACAUGGCACUUGCAUAUUAUGCAAUAAAGAGACAACCAUAAGGCUCCUGCCAGUUGCCGAUAACUUUAACAAAACAUGAUCAUCUCAUACAACAAUUUAUAUCUCAUCACAUCUUGAUCAUAUCACAUCACAACAUGCCCUGCAAAAACAAGUUAGACGUCCUCUACUUUGUUGUUGCAAGUUUUACGUGGCUGCUACGGGCUGAGCAAGAACCGUUCUUACCUACGCAUCAAAACCACAACAAUUUUUCAUCAAGUAUGUGUUGUUUUAACCUUCAACAAGGACCGGGUGUAGUCACACUCGAUUCAACUAAAGUUGGAGAAACUGACACCCGCCAGCCACCUGUGUGCGAAGCACGUCGGUAGAACCAGUCUCGCGUAAGCGUACGCGUAAUGUCGGUCCGGGCCGCUUCAUCCAACAAUUCUGCCGAAUCAAAGUAUGACAUGCUGGUAAGCAGUAUGACUAUUAUCGCCCACAACUCACUUGUGUUCUACUCGUGCAUAUAACAUCUACGCAUAAACCUGGCUCGGAUGCCACUGUUGGGGAACGUAGUAAUUUCAAAAAAAAAUCUACGCACACGUAAGAUCAUGGUGAUGCAUAGCAACGAGAGGGGAGAGUGUUGUCCACGUACCCUUGUAGAUCAUAAGCGGAAGCCUUAUGACAACGCGGUUGAUGUAGUCGUACGUCUUCACGAUCGACUGAUCCUAGUACCGAAAGUACGGCACCUCCGCGAUCUACACACGUUCGGCUCGGUGACGUCCCACGAACUCACGAUCUAGCAGAGUGUCGAGGGAGAGCUUCGUCAGCACGAAGGCAUGAUGACGGUGAUGAUGAAGCUACCGACGGAGGGCUUCGCCUAAGCACUGCAACGAUAUGACCGAGGUAGAUUAUGGUGGAGGGGGGCACCGCACACGGCUAAGAGAUCAAUCAUCAACUUGUGUGUCUAUGGGGUGCCCCCUGGCCACGUAUAUAAAGGAUGGAGGAAGGAGGAGGCCGGCCCUCAUAGGGCGCGCCCAAAGUGUGGAGUCCUACUAGGACUCCCUAGUCCUUGUAGGAUUCCACCUCACACGUGGAAUAGGAAAAAGGGAAGGGAGAAGGAGAAGGAAGGAAGGGAGCGGCCCCUUUCCCUAGUCCAAUUCAGACCAGCCCAUGGGGAAGGGGCGUGGCCACCCUUGAGGCCUUUCUCUCCUUUCGUGUAUGGCCCAUUAAGGCCCAAUACGAAUUCGUGUAACUCUCCGGUACUCCGAAAAAUACCCGAAUCACUCGGAACCUUUCCGAUGUCCAAAUAUAGCCUUCCAAUAUAUCGAUCUUUACGUCUCGACCAUUUCGAGACUCCUCGUCAUGUCCCCGAUCUCAUCCGGGACUCUGAACAAACUUCGGUCAUCAAAUCACAUAACUCAUAAUACAAAUCGUCACAGAACGUUAAGCGUGCGGACCCUACGGGUUCGAGAACUAUGUACACAUGACCGAGACUCAUCUCCGGUAAAAAACCAAUAGCGGAACCUGGAUGCUCAUAUUGGUUCCUACAUAUUCUACAAAGAUCUUUAUCGGUCAAACCGCAUAACAACAUACGUUGUUCCCUUUGUCAUCGGUAUGUUACUUGCCCGAGAUUCGAUCGUCGGUAUCUCAAUACCUAGUUCAAUCUCGUUACCGGCAAGUCUCUUUACUCGUUCCGUAAUGCAUCAUCCCGCAACUAACUCAUUAGUCACAUUUCUUGCAAGGCUUAUAGUGAUGUGCAUUACCGAGAGGGCCCGGAGAUACCUCUCCGGCAAUCGGAGUGACAAAUCCUAAUCUCGAUCUAUGCCAACUCAACAAGUACCAUCGGAGACACCUGUAGAGCAUCUUUAUAAUCACCCAGUUAUGUUGUGAUGUUUGAUAGCACACAAGGUGUUCCUCCGGUAUUCGGGAGUUGCAUAAUCUCAUAGUCUGAGGAACAUGUAUAAGUCAUGAAGAAAGCAGUAGCAAUGAAACUGUAACGAUCAUAAUGCUAAGCUAACGAAUGGGUCUUGUCCAUCACAUCAUUCUCCUAAUGAUGUGAUCCCGUUCAUCAAAUGACAACACAUGUCUAUGGUUAGGAAACAAAACCAUCUUUGAUAAAUGAACUAGUCAAGUCGAGGCAUAUUAGGGACACUUUGUUUUGUCUAUGUAUUCACACAUGUACUAAGUUUCCGGUUAAUACAAUUCUAGCAUGAAUAAUAAACAUUUAUCAUGAAAUAAGGAAAUAAAUAAUAACUUUAUUAUUGCCUCUAGGGCAUAUUUCCUUCAACACUACUAUCAGUGUCCGUCUUCCUCUUGAAGAUCCAUUUAUUCUCAAUGACUUGCCGAUCAUCGGGCAAGUCAACCAAAGUCCAUACUUUGUUCUCAUACAUGGAUCCCAUCUCAGAUUUCAUGGCCUCAAGCCAUAUUGUGAAACCUGGGCUCAUCAUCGCUUCCUCAUAGUUCGUAGGUUCGUCAUGGUCUAGUAACAUGACUUCCAGAAAGGAUUACUGUAUCACUCUAGUGCGGACCAUAAUCUGGUUGACCUACGAGGUUCAGUAGUAACUUGAUCUGAAGUUUCAUGAUCAUCAUCAUUAGCUUCCUCACUGACUGGUGUAGGAAUCACUGGAACUGAUUUCUGUGAUGUACUACUUUCCAAUUCGGGAGAAGGUACAAUUACCUCAUCAAGUUCUACUUUCCUCCCACUCACUUCUUUCGAGAGAAACUCCUUCUCUAGAAAGGAUCCAUUCUUAGCAACGAAUAUCUUGCCUUCGGAUCUGUGAUAGAAGGUGUACCCAACAGUCUCUUUUGGGUAUCCUAUGAAGACACAUUUCUCCAAUUUGGGUUCGAGCUUAUCUGGUUGAAGCUUUUUCACAUAAGCAUCGCAGCCCCAAACUUUAAGAAAUGACAGCUUACGUUUCUUGCCAAACAGUGUCGUCUCAACGGAUUUAGAUGGUGCCCUAUUUAACGUCAAUGUAGUUGUCCCUAAUGCAUAACCCCAAAACGAUAGUGGUAAAUCGGUAAGAGACAACAUAGAUCGCACCAUAUCUAGUAAAGUGCGGUUACGACGUUCGGACACACCAUUACGCUGUGGUGUUCCAAGUGGCGUGAGUUGUGAAACUAUUCCACAUUGUUUCAAAUGAAGACCAAACUCGUAACUCAAAUAUUCACCUCCACGAUCAGAUCGUAGAAACUUUAUUUUCUUGUUACGAUGAUUUUUCACUUCACUCUGAAAUUCUUUGAACUUUUCAAAUGUUUCAGACUUAUGUUUCAUCAAGUAGAUAUAUCCAUAUCUGCUCAAAUCAUCUGUGAAGGUCAGAAAAUAACGAUACCAGCCGGGAGCCUCAACACUCAUCGGACCGCAUACAUCAGUAUGUAUUAUUUCCAAUAAGUCUGUUGCUCGCUCCAUUGUUUCGGAGAACGGAGUCUUAGUCAUCUUGCCCAUGAGGCAUAAUUCGCAAGCAUCAAGUGAUUCCAAAAACCCAUCAGCAUGGAGUUUCUUCGUGCGCUUUACACCAAUAUGACCUAAACGGCAGUGCCACAAAUAAGUUGCACUAUCAUUAUUAAACUUAUAUCUUUUGGCAUCAAUAUUAUGUGUAUCACUAUGAUCGAGAUUCAGUAAACCAUUUACAUUGGAUGUAAGACCAUAGAAGGUUUUAUUCAUGUAAACAAAACAACAAUUAUUCUUUGACUUAAAUGAAUAACCGUAUCGCAAUAAACAUGAUCCAAUCAUAAUUAUGCUCAACCCAAACACCAAAUAACAUUUAUUUAGUUCCAAUACUAAUCACGAGGGAAAAAGGGAGUGUGCAAUGGUGAUAUUAUCAACCUUGGAAUCACUUCCAACACACAUCAUCACCUCGCCCUUAACUAGUCUCUGUUUAUUUUGCAACUCCCGUUUCUAGUUACUACUCUUAGCAACUGAACCAGUAUCAAAUAUCGAGGGGUUGCUAUAAACACUAGUAAAGUACACAUCAAUAACAUGUAUAUCAAAUAUACCUUUGUUCACUUUGCCAUCCUUCUUAUCCACCAAGUAUCUAGGGCAAUUCCACUUCCAGUGACCAUUUCCUUUGUAGUAGAAGCACUCAGUUUCAGGCUUGGGUAUAGCUUUGGGCUUCUUCAUGGGAGUGGCAACUUGCUUGCCAUUCUUCUUGAAGUUCCCUUUCUUUCCCUUGCCCUUUUACUUGAAACUAGUGGUCUUGUCAACCAUCAACACUUGAUGCUUUUCUUGAUUUCUACCUUCGCCGAUUUCAUCAUCGCGAAGAGCUCGGGGAAUCAUUUUCGUCAUCCCUUGCAUAUUAUAGUUCAUCACGAAGUUCCAGUAACUUGGUGAUAGUGACUAGAGAACUCUGUCAAUCACUAUCUUAUCUGGAAGAUUAACUCCCACUUGAUUCAAGCGAUUGUAGUACUCAGACAUUCUGAGCACAUGCUCAUUGGUUGAGCUAUUCUCCUCCAUCUUCUAGGCAAAAUACUUGUCAGAGGUCUCAUACCUCUCGACUUGGGCAUGAGUCUGAAAUACCAAUUUUAGUUCUUGGAACAUCUCAUAUGCUCCAUGGCGUUCAAAACAAUUUUGAAGUCCCGGUUCUAAGCCAUAAAGUAUGGUGCACUAAACUAUCAAGUAGUCAUCAUACCGAGCUUGUAAAACAUUCAUAAUGUCUGCAUCUGCUCCUGCAACAGGUCCGUCACCUAGUGGUGCAUCAAGGACAUAAUACUUCUAUGCAGCAAUGAGGAUAUCCUCGGAUCACAGACCUAGUCCGCAUCAUUGCUACUAUCAUCUUUCAACUUAGUUUUCUCUAGGAACAUAUCAAAAAUAAAAUAGGGGAGCUAUACGCGAGCUAUUGAUCUACAACAUAGAUAUGCAAAUACUAUAAGUUCAUGAUAAAUUAAAGUUCAAUUAAUCAUAUUACUUAAGAACUCCCACUUAGAUAGACAUCCCUCUAGUCAUCUAAAUGAUCAUGUGAUCCAAAUCAACUAAACCAUGUCCAAUCAUCACGUGAGAUGGAGUAGUUUUCAACGGUGAACAUCACUAUGUGGAUCAUAUCUACUAUAUGAUUCACGUUCGACCUUUCAGGCUCAGUGUUCUGAGGCUUGAUACAUCUCCAACGUAUCUAUAAUUUUGAUUGCUCCAUGCUAUAUUAUCUACUGUUUUGGACAUUAUUGGGCUUUAUUAUUCACUUUUAUAUUAUUUUUGGGACUAACCUAUUAACCGGAGGCCCAACCCAGAAUUGUUGUUUUUUGCCUAUUUCAGAGUUUCGCAGAAAAGGAAUAUCAAACGGAGUCCAAACGGAAUGAAACCUUCGGGAAUGUGAUUUUUAGGAAGAUUAUGAUCCGGGAGACUUGGACCCUACGUCAAGAAACAAAGGAGGAGGCCACGAGGUAGGGGGGCACGCCUACCCCCCAGGGCACGCCCUCCACCCUCAUGGGCCCCCUGUUGCUCCACCGACGUACUCCUUCCUCCUAUAUAUACCUACGUACCCCCAAACGAUCAGAUACGGAGCCAAAAACCUAAUUCCACCGCCGCAACCUUCUGUACCCACGAGAUCCCAUCUUGGGGCCUGUUCCGGAGCUCCGCCGGAGAGGGCAUCCAUCACGGAGGGCUUCUACACCAACACCAUAGCCUCUCCGAUGAAGUGUGAGUAGUUUACUUCAGACCUUCGGGUCCAUAGUUAGUAGCUAGAUGGCUUCUUCUCUCUUUUUGGAUCUCAAUACAAUGUUCUCCCCCUCUCUCGUGGAGAUCUAUUUGAUGUAAUCUUCUUUUUGCGGUGUGUUUGUUGAGACUGAUGAAUUGUGGUUUAUGAUCAAGAUUAUCUAUGAACAAUAUUUGAAUCUUCUCUGAAUUCUUUUAUGUAUGAUUGGUUAUCUUUGCAAGUCUCUUUGAAUUAUCAGUUUGGUUUGGCCUACUAGAUUGAUCUUUCUUGCAAUGGGAGAAGUGCUUAGCUUUGGCUUCAAUCUUGCGGUGUCCUUUCCCAGUGACAGUAGGGGCAGCAAGGCACGUAUUGUAUUAUUGCCAUCGAGGAUAACAAGAUGGGUUUUUAUCAUAUUGCAUGAAUUUAUCCCUCUACAUCAUGUCAUCUUGCUUAAGGCGUUACUCCGUUUUCAUGAACUUAAUACUCUAGAUGCAUGCUGGAUAGCGGUCGAUGAGUGGAGUAAUAGUAGUAGAUGAAGGCAGGAGUCGGUCUACUUGUCUCGGACGUGAUGCCUAUAUACAUGAUCAUACCUAGAUAUUCUCAUAACUAUGCUCAAUUCUGUCAAUUGCUCAACAGUAAUUCGUUCACCCACCCUAAAAUACUUAUGCUCUUGAGAGAAGCCACUAGUGAAAUCUAUGGCCCCCGGGUCUAUCUUCAUCAUAUUAAUCUUCCAAUACUUAGUUAUUUCCUUUGCUUUUAUUUUACUUUGCGUCUUUAUCACAAAAAUACCAAAAAUAUUAUCCUAUCAUAUCUAUCAGAUCUCACUCUCGUAAGUGACCGUGAAGGGAUUGACGACCCCUUAUCGCAUUGGUUGCGAGGAUUUAUUUGUUUUGUGUAGGUCCGAGGGACUCGCGCGUAGCCUCCUACUGGAUUGAUACCUUGGUUCUCAAAAACUGAGGGAAAUACUUACGCUACUUUGCUGCAUCACCCUUUCCUCUUCAAGGGAAAACCAAUGCAGUGCUCAAGAGGUAGCAAGAAGGAUUUCUGGCGCCGUUGCCGGGGAGGUCUACGCAAAAGUCAACAUACCAAGUACCCCUCACAAACCCUUAUCUCCCGCAUUACAUUAUUUGCCAUUUGCCUCUCGUUUUCCUCUCCCCCACUUCACCCUUGCCAUUUUAUUCGCCCUCUCUUUUUCGUUUGCUUGUCGUUAUGGCUAGUCCUCUAUCUUCUCCGUUGUCUCCCAAGAAUGAAGUUCUAAAUUUUAAACAAAGGGAGGGAGAAAAUCUAAAAGACGCUUGGUAUAGAAUUUGCAAUGCUCAAAAUAGAUCUGCCAGGAAGCAAUCUACUUCCGUUCUUCUCCGCAAUUUUUAUGUAGGCGCUAAUCCUUAGUAUAGAUAUAUUCUUGAUACCAUUACCGGAGGGAAUUUCUUGGGUAGCCAUACUUUUGACUCUUAUAAUGCUAUGAUAGAUUUAUUUGGCUCAGCACCUCUUUUGGUUAAUGGAACUAUGUUAACUUUGGAGCAUGUAAUGCAAAGACUUGAAAUUAUUGAAAAUAAAGUUGCUACCGUAGAGUUAAUUGAAAAUCUGGAUAAAAAGAUCCACAACAAAAUUACCCAAUAUGGAUCUAAGGUAGGAGUCACUUUGAAAAAUAUUAAGGAGAAGGAACCCAUAGUUAAUGAGAGAAUAAAUCAAGAUUCCUCUAGAAUCGAUAAACCUGAGGGUAUCAUUACCAACUUGGGAACCGCUUUUUCUUCCUUAAAGAAUACUCCUAGUCCUCCAACUAAAAUUGCUAAGCUUAUGUAUGUUCCUAAAAACAAGGGUGAAUCCUCUAAUAAAGAAACUGCGGAUCUUAAGUCUAUAAGUAUUCAUCCCAAUCUUUUUGCUAUCAUUAAGGAACCAUUUGCUACAAAUGAAUUUUUCGAUCUUGUUCCUAAAAGUUUGAUAAUUAAUAGAAAGAAAUAAACUCUAAAGGAUGAUAGAUGUCUUAUUGAAGAAUUGCCCACCAAAGAUGGCAAUACCUAGAUCUAUCCUUGCUUUUAUGCCUAGCUAGGGGCGUUAAACGAUAGCGCUUGUUGGGAGGCAACCCAAUUUUAUUUUUAGUUUUUUGCUUUUUACUUCUGUUUAGGAAUAAAUAUUUGUUCUAGCCUCUGGUUAGAUGUGUUUUGUGUUUUAAUUAGUGUUUGUGCCAAGUUAAACCUAUAGGAUCUUCUUGGAUGAUAGUUAUUUGAUCUUGCAGAAAUUUCCAGAAACUUUCUGUUCACGAAAAUAAUUGUUAAAAAUCACCAGAACGUGAUAAAAUAGUGAUUCCAAUUGCUGCUGAUCAAUAAAUAAAUUGUCUAGGUCUUCCUAUUUUGGCUGAGCUUUUGGAGUUCCAGAAGUUUGCGUUAGGUAUAGAUUACUACAGACUGUUCUGUUUUUGACAGAUUCUGUUUUUCGUGUGUUGUUUGCUUAUUUUGAUGAAUCUAUGGCUAGUAAAAUAGUUUAUAAACCAUAGAGAAUUUGUAAUACAGUAGGUUUAACACCAAUAUAAAUAAAGAAUGAGUUCAUUACAGUAUCUUGAAGUGGUCUUUUGUUUUCUUUCGCUAACGGAGCUCACGAGAUUUUCUGUUAAGUUUUGUGUUGUGAAGUUUUCAAGUUUUGGGUGAAAGAUUUUGAUGGAUUAUGGAACAAGGAGUGGCAAGAGCCUAAGCUUGGGUAUGCCCAUGGCACCCCCAAGAUAAUCUAAGGACACCAUAAAGCCAAAGCUUGGGGAUGCCCCGGAAGGCAUCCCCUCUUUCGUCUACUUCCAUCGGUAACUUUACUUGGAGCUAUAUUUUUAUUCACUACAUGAUAUGUGUUUUGCUUGGAGAGUCUUGUAUGAUUUGAGUCUUUGAUUUUUAGUUUACCACAAUAAUCCUUGCUGUACACACCUUUUGAGAGAGCCAUACAUGAUUUGGAAUUUGUUAGAAUACUCUAUGUGCUUCGCUUAUAUCUUUUGAGCUAUAUAGUUUUGCUCUAGUGCUUCACCUAUAUCUUUUAGAGCACGGUGGUGGAUUUGUUUUAUAGGAACUAUUGAUCUCUCAUGCUUCACUUAGAUUAUUUUGAGAGUCUUAAAUAGCAUGGUAAUUUGCUUAAAUAAUCCUAAUAUGUUAAGCAUACAAGAUUUGUAAGAACUCUUAUGAGUGUGUUGAAUACUAUGAGAAGUUUGAUGCUUGAUAAUUGUUUUGAGACAUGAAGAUGGUGAUAUUAGAGUCAUGCUAGUUGAGUAGUUGUGAAUUUGAGAAAUACUUGUGUUAAAGUUUGUGAUUCCGUAACAUGCACGUAUGGUGAACCGUUAUGUGAUGAAGUCGGAGCAUGAUUUAUUUAUUGAUUGUCUUCCUUAUGAGUGGCGGUCGGGGACGAGCGAUGGUAUUUUCCUACCAGUAUAUCCCCCUAGGAGCAUGCGCAUAAUACUUUUCUUUGAUAACUUGUAGAUUUUUGCAAUAAGUAUAUGAGUUAUUUAUGACUAAUGUUGAGUCCAUGGACUAUACACACCCUUCUUCCUUCCACCAUUGCUAGCCUCUCUAAUACCGCACACUUUUCGCCGGUAUCAUACACCCACCAUAAACCUUCCUCAAAAUAGCCACCAUACCUACCUAUCAUGGCAUUUCCAUAGCCAUUCCGAGAUAUAUUGCCAUGCAAUUUUCCACCGUUCCGUUUAUUAUGACACGCUUCGUCAUUGUCAUAUUGCUUUGCAUGAUCAUGUAGUUGACAUCGUAUUUGUGGCAAAGCCACCGUUCAUAAUUCUUUCAUACAUGUUACUCUUGAUUCAUUGCAUAACCCGGUACACCUCCGGAGGCAUUCAUAUAGAGUCAUAUUUUGUUCUAAGUAUCGAGUUGUAAUUUUUGAGUUGUAAGAAAAUAAAAGUGUGAUGAUCUUCAUUUUUAGAGCAUUGUCCCAAGUGAGGAAAGGAUGAUGGAGACUAUGAUUCCCCCACAAGUCAGGAUGAGACUCCGGACGGAAAACAAAUAAAUAAAAGAGGCCAUAAAAAAGAGAAAAGGCCCAAAUAAAAAAAUGAGAGAAAAAGAGAGAAGGGACAAUGUUACUAUCCUUUUACCACACUUGUGCUUCAAAGUAGCACCAUGAUCUUCAUGAUAGAGAGUCUCUCAUUUUGUCACUUUCAUAUACUAGUGGGAAUUUUUCAUUAUAGAACUUGGCUUGUAUAUUCCAAUGAUGGGCUUCCUCAAAAUGCCCUAGGUCUUCGUGAGCAAGCGAGUUGGAUGCACACCCACUCAGUUUCCUUUGUUGAGCUUUCAUAUACUUAUAGCUCUAGUGCAUCCGUUGCAUGGCAAUCACUACUCACUCACAUUGAUAUCUAUUGAUGGGCAUCUCCAUAGCCCGUUGAUAUGCCUAGUUGAUGUGAGACUAUCUUCUCCCUUUUUGUCUUCUCCACAACCACCAUUCUAUUCCACAUAUAGUGCUAUGUCCAUGGCUCACGCUCAUGUAUUGCGUGAACAUUGAAAAAGUUUGAAAAUGUCAAAAGUAUGAAACAAUUGUUUGGCUUGUCAUCGGGGUUGUGCAUGAUUUAAAUACUUUGUGUGGUGAAGAUAGAGCACAGCCAAACUAUAUGAUUUUGUAGGGAUAACUUUCUUUGGCCAUGUUAUUUUGAGAAGACAUGAUUGCUUUGUUAGUAUGCUUGAAGUAUUAUUAUUUUUAUGUCAAUAUUAAACUUUUGUCUUCAAUCUUUCGGAUCUGAAUAUUCAUACCACAAUUAAUAAGAAUUACAUUGAAAUUAUGCCAAGUAGCACUCCGCAUCAAAAAUUCUGUUUUUAUCAUUUACCUACUCGAGGACGAGCAGGAAUUAAGCUUGGGGCUGCUUGAUACGUCUCCAACGUAUCUAUAAUUUUUGAUUGCUCCAUGCUAUAUUAUCUACUGUUUUGGACAUUAAUGGGCUUUAUUAUUCACUUUUAUAUUAUUUUUGGGACUAACCUAUUAACCGGAGGCCCAGCCCAGAAUUGCUGUUUUUUGCCUAUUUCAGAGUUUCGCAGAAAAGGAAUAUCAAACGGAGUCCAAACGGAAUGAAACCUUCGGGAACGUGAUUUUUAGGAAGAUUAUGAUCCGGGAGACUUGGACCCUACGUCAAGAAACAAAGGAGGAGGCCACGAGGUAGGGGGCGCGCCCUCCACCCUCGUGGGCCUCCUGUUGCUCCACCGACGUACUCCUUCCUCCUAUAUAUACCUACGUACCCCCAAACGAUCAGAUACAGAGCCAAAAACCUAAUUCCACCGUCGCAACCUUCUGUACCCACGAGAUCCCAUCUUGGGGCCUGUUCCGGAGCUCCGCCGGAGAGGGCAUCCAUCACGGAGGGCUUCUACACCAACACCAUAGCCUCUCCGAUGAAGUGUGAGUAGUUUACUUCAGACCUUCGGGUCCAUAGUUAGUAGCUAGAUGGCUUCUUCUCUCUUUUUGGAUCUCAAUACAAUGUUCUCCCCCUCUCUCAUGGAGAUCUAUUUGAUGUAAUCUUCUUUUUACGGUGUGUUUGUUGAGACUGAUGAAUUAUGGCUUUAUGAUCAAGAUUAUCUAUGAACAAUAUUUGAAUCUUCUCUGAAUUCUUUUAUGUAUGAUUGGUUAUCUUUGCAAGUCUCUUUGAAUUAUCAGUUUGGUUUGGCCUACUAGAUUGUAUUGUUGCCAUCGAGGAUAACAAGAUGGGGUUUUUAUCAUAUUGGGCAUGAAUUUAUCCCUCUACAUCAUGUCAUCUUGCUUAAGGCGUUACUCUGUUUUCAUGAACUUAAUACUCUAGAUGCAUGCUGGAUAGCGGUCGAUGAGUGGAGUAAUAGUAGUAGAUGCAGGCAGGAGUCGGUCUACUUGUCUCGGAUGUGAUGCCUAUAUACAUGAUCAUACCUAGAUAUUCUCAUAACUAUGCUCAAUUCUGUCAAUUGCUCAACAGUAAUUCGUUCACCCACCGUAAAAUACUUAUGCUCUUGAGAGAAGCCACUAGUGAAAUCUAUUACCCCCGGGUCUAUCUUCAUCAUAUUAAUCUUCCAAUACUUAGUUAUUUCCUUUGCUUUUUACUUUGCUUUUAUUUUACUUUGCGUCUUUAUCACAAAAAUACCAAAAAUAUUAUCCUAUCAUAUCUAUCAGAUCUCACUCUCGUAAGUGACCGUGAAGGGAUUGACAACCCCUUAUCGCGUUGGUUGCGAGGAUUUAUUUGUUUUGUGUAGGUGCGAGGGACUCGCGCGUAGCCUCCUACUGGAUUGAUACCUUGGUUCUCAAAAACUGAGGGAAAUACUUACGCUACUUUGCUGCAUCACCCUUUCCUCUUCAAGGGAAAACCAACGCAGUGCUCAAGAGGUAACAAGGCCAUAUCUGCAUAUGCUAGGCUCGUCAAGUUUAACCCGAGUAUUCUGCGUGUGCAAAACUGGCUUGCACCCGUUAUAUGUGAACGUAGAGCUUAUCACACCCGAUCAUCACGUGGUGUCUCGGCACGACAAACUGUAGCAACGGUGCAUACUCAGGGAGAACACUUAUACCUUGAAAUUUAGUGAGAGGUCAUCUUAUAAUGCUACCGCCGUACUAAGAAAAAUAAGAUGCAUAAAAGGUAAACAUCACAUGCAAUCAAAAUAAGUGAUAUCAUAUGGACAUCAUCAUCAUGUGCCUUUGAUCUCCAUCUCCAAAGCACCGUUAUGAUCACCAUCGUCACCGGCUUGACACCUUGAUCUCCAUCAAAGUAUCAUUGUCGUCUCGCCAACUAUUGCUUCUACGACUACCGCUACUGCUUAGUGAUAAAGUAAAGCAAUUACAUGGCGAUUGCAUUUCAUACAAUAAAGCGACAACCAUAUGGCUCCUGCCAGUUGCCGAUAACUGUUACAAAGCAUGAUCAUCCCAUACAAUAAUUUAUAUCUUAUCACGUCUUGACCAUAUAACAUCACAGCAAGCCCUGCAAAAACAAGUUAGACGUCCUCUACUUUGUUGUUGCAAGUUUUACGUGGCUACUAUGGGCUUCUAGCAAGAACCGUUCUUACCUACUCAUUAAAACCACAACGAUUUUUCGUCAAGUGUGCUGUUUUAACCUUCAACAAGGACCGGGCGUAGUCAAACUCGAUUAACCUAAAGUUGGAGAAACAGACACCCGCUAGCCACCUGUGUGCGAAGCACGCCGGUAGAACCAGUCUCAUGUAAUGUCGGUCCGGGCCGCUUCAUCCAACAAUAACGCCAAAUCAAAGUAAGACGUUGCUGGUAAGCAGUAUGACUAUUAUCGCCCACAACUCAUUGUGUUCUACUCGUGCAUAUAACAUCUACGCAUAGACCUGGCUCGGAUGCCACUGUUGGGGAACACAGUAAUUUCAAAAAAAAUCCUACGAUCACGCAAGAUCUAUCUAGGAGAUGCAUAGCAACGAGAGGGGAGAGUGUGUCCACGUACCCUCGUAGACCGAAAGCGGAAGCGUUUAGUAACGCGGUUGAUGUAGUCGAACUUCUUCGCGAUCCAACGGAUCCAAGUACCGAACGUACAGCACCUCCGCGUUCAGCACAUUUUCAGCUCGAUGACGUCCCUCGUACUCUUGAUCCAGUUGAGGCCGAGGGAGAGUUCCGUCAGCAUGACGGCGUGGCGACGAUGAUGAUGAUGUUACCGGCGCAGGGCUUUGCCUAAGCACUACGGAUAUAUGAUCGAGGUGUGUAACUGUGGAGGGGGCACCGCACACGGCUAAAAGAUCAACUUGUGUGUUCUAGGGUUCCCCCUGCCCCCGUAUAUAAAGGAGGGAGGGGGAGGCCGGCCGGCCCUAGGGGCGCGCCCAAGGAGAGGGAAUCCUACUAGGACUCCAAGUCUUAGUAGGAUUCCACUUGGUGGAAGGGGGAAGGAAGGGAGAGGGAAAGGGGGGUCGCGCCCCUCCCGUAGUCCUAUUCGGACUCCCCAUGGGGGGGGGGCGCCUCCCCUAUGUGGGCUGUCCUCUCUCACCCCUAUAGCCCAUGAUGGCCCAUUGCUUCUCCGGGGGGGUUCCGGUAACCCCUCCGGCUCUCCGUUUUUAUCCGAAACUAUCUGGAACACUUCUGGUAUCCGAAUAACAUGGUCCAAUAUAUCAAUCUUUAUGUCUCGACCAUUUCGAGACUCCUCGUCACGUCCGUGAUCUCAUCCGUGACUCCGAACAAACUUCGGUCAUCAAAACACAUAACUCAUAAUACAAAUCGUCAUCGAACGUUAAGCGUGCGGACCCUGCGGGUUCGAGAACUAUGUAGACAUGACCGAGACACAUCUCCGGUCAAUAACCAAUAGCGGAACCUGGAUGCUCAUAUUGGCUCCUACAUAUUCUACGAAGAUCUUUAUCCGCCAAACGGCAUAACAACAUACGUUAUUCCCUUUGUCAUCGGUAUGUUACUUGCCCGAGAUUCGAUCGUCGGUAUCAUCAUACCUAGUUCAAUCUCGUUACCGGCAAGUCUCUUUACUCGUUUCGUAAUACUUCAUCCCGCAACUAACUCAUUAGUCACAUUGCUUGCAAGGCUUAUAAUGAUGAGCAUUAUCGAGAGGGCCCAGAGAUACCUCUCCGAAACACGGAGUGACAAAUCCUAAUCUCGAUUUAUGCCAACCCAACAAAUACCUUCGGAGACACCUCUAGAUCAUAUUUAUAAUCACCCAUUUAUGUUGUGACGUUUGAUAGCACACAAAGUGUUCCUCCGGUAUUCGGGAGUUGCAUAAUCUCAUAGUCUAAGGAACAUGUAUAAGUCAUGAAGAAAGCAGUAGCAAUGAAACUGUAAUGAUCAUAAUGCCAAGCUAACGAAUGGGUCUUGUCCAUCACAUCAUUCUCUAAUGAUGUGAUCCCGUUCAUCAAAUGACAACACAUGUCUAUGGUCAGGAAACUUAACCAUCUUUGAUUAACGAGCUAGUCUAGUAGAGGCAUACUAGGGACACUUUGUUUUGUCUAUGUAUUCACACAUGUAUCAAGUUUCCUUUAAUACAAUUCUAGCAUGAAUAAUAAACAUUUAUCAUGAUAUAAGGAAAUAUAAAUAACAACUUUAUUAUUGCCUCCAGGGCAUAUUUCCUUCAAGAUGUUGCCACCAGAGUCUGUUUCGAAGACUUCCAUGAUAUAGCAGUGCCACCAUGUAGGAACACGAAACCGGUAUGUGAUCUGACAUUAUGGGGAUCAGACAAAUAGCUGGCAUCUGCAUAUCCAAUCAUAUCAGAAUCCUGAUUUUUUUGGAACUAGAAAAAUAGACCAAGAUCCUUUGUGCCUUGGAGAUAUCGAAAGAUAUUCUUCACUCUAGACCAAUGAUGUUUAGUGGGAGCUACGCUAUAUCUAGCAAGUAGAUUCACUGCAAAUGCAAUAUCAGGUCUUGUGCAAUUUGCAAGAUACAUAAGCACUCCAACGGCACUGAGGUAUGGAACUUCAGGUUCCAACACUUCUUCUCCAUCAUCCCUUGGUCUAAACGGAUCUUUCUCCGCGUUUAGAGAUCGAACCACCAUGGGAGUUUUAGAUGGAUAGGAUUUGUCCAUGUUGAAUUUCUCCAAUAUUUUCUGGAUAUAGGCAGUUUGGUGUACCAUGAUUCCUGAGGGAAGGUGCUCAAGUUUAAUACCUAAGCAAAAUUUGGUUUUACCCAAAUCCUUCAUCUCAAAUUCCAUCAUUAGGUGAUUGUGUGCUUCAUUAAUGUCUGGUGUGUUGCCAAUGAUGUUGAGAUCAUCAACAUACACAGAAAUGAUGCAAAAUCCUGUAGAGGACCUUUUGAUGAAGACACAUGGGCAAUCAGCACUAUUGGAGUAACCUUUCUGAAGAAGGAACUCACUGAGUCGGUUGUACCACAUCCGUCCCGACUGCCUUAAGCCAUAUAAUGACUUAUUCAGCUUUACACAAUACAUGUUGCGUUUUGCACUUUUAUUCGGGACAGAGAUUCCAUUAGGAACCUUCAUAUAUAUGUCUGAAUCUAGUGACCCGUAAAGAUAUGCAGUCACUACGUCCAUCAACUGCAUAGAUAGAUGAUUUUGCACUGCCAAGGAUAUAAUAUCGGAAAGUGGUUGCACUCAUUACUGGAGAAUAUGUUUCAGUGAAAUCAAUGUCGGGUUUCUGCGUGAAACCUUGUGCUAUGAGCCUUGCUUUAUAUCUCACCACCUCAUUGUUCUCAUUCUGUUUCCGGAGAAAAACCCAUUUGAAUCCCACAGGGAAAACACUGGGAGGUCUCAGUACUCAGUGAAUACCUUUCUUUUGUUAAGUGAGGCAAUUUCUGCUUGGAUUGCAUCCUUCCAUUUAGGCCAGUCGGAGCGCUUUUGGCACUCAAUGAUAAACCUUGGAUCAUGAUCAGUGAGAAGGGUAUCCGCAAUCUUUUCAGCAAAAUAUAUGUCGACAGUCGUAGUCUUACGGUCAAAUGAUUCUCCAGAAUCUAACAUAGUUGAUGGAAAUUUCCUACACCCCUAGUGACUCUUCGUGAUUUCCCAAUACGAUUGAGUCUGGGUGUUUUGAUGUCCUAGUCAGUUUAUGCACACCGGAGCUGGGUUGUGGAGGUUGCCCUUCCACUGGGUGUAUACUACCCAUCAGGUGUUUGUCAAACGUUGAGUUGACCUGCAUUUACUGACUCUGAGGUUUUUCUCCUCGAUUUCCUUUGCUGCUUGCUAGAAGCAUGCUUCAGGUCAGAGGUUGUACUACUCCCCCUCUUUUUGGGAAUAGGGAGUUGAGUGGUUUUUAUUGGUACCUCCACUCUUUUUGGCGUGUUUUUGGACAGAUUUAAGGAUUUUGUAACACCUUUCAGAUCAGUAAAUGAAUCUGGCAGAUUAUUUGCAAGAUGUUGCAAAUUAAUGAUCUUCCGUACUUGAAGUUAUGUCUCUUGGGUACGGGAUCAGAGGAUGAAAUGGCAUGAGCAUUCCAAUCAAUUUCCGGGCAUCCUUUCUGGUACUUGAAAUCUCCCCCUAAUGCCAGAAAAUGUUCCUCGUUAAUUAUGCAAUCAGCGUGACGGGUUGUGAACAGAUCCCCAGUUAGGGGUUCUAGGUACUUGAUAGUCGACGGUGAUUUGUACCCCACAUAGACCCCCAACUUCUUGUGUGGGCCCAUAGAUGUCCAUUGUGGUGGUGAGAUCGAGAUCUAUGCAGCUCAUCCGAACUUACGCAGAUGGGAAUUUCCACAUACCAAUUCCAGAGGAGAAAAACUAUGAUAUGCAGUUGGCCUCAAUUGUAUCAAGUCAACAGCGUGUAAAACAACGUGACCCCAACAAGAGGUUGGCAAGUUGCAAUUCGUCAACAAAGGUCUUGCAAUGAGUUUGAUCCUUGUAAUCAAUGAUUUAGCCAAACCAUUUUGUGUAUGGACAUAUGGAACAGUGUAACGCCCGGAUAAUCAAGCUACAGUAAUCCCACGCUAAUGGUGCCACGUCACCACGGUUACUUUGCUAAUCUACCGUUAGGUCAAACCGUUUAAAAAUUCAAAUUCAAAUUUAUGUCAACGAUAAAAGUUUUUCAAAAUUUAAAACAAAAAUGUUCGGGAGAUGCCAUAUUUUGCAUAAGUAAAUAUGGUGUAGUAAACUCAUUUUUACAAAAUGCCUAAGUAAUUUAAAUUGAAAUAAAACAGAAAAGAAAAUAAAUGAAAGAAAGAAAAUACAAAAGAGAAAACAAACAGAAAAAAAGGAAAAGGAGCCCCCCCACUGGACCCUGGCCCAACUGGGCCAACCCCCAGGCCCAGCCGGCCUGGCCCACCUCGCUCGGUCGCUCCCUCCCCUUCCCUGUUCCCCCGACCGGGGUCGGAACAGGGGCACGUCCCCGCCGCACCCCCUCGCCGGCAACGGGGGAGGAUAAGGCCGCAACGCCCUGCCUCCUCGAUCACGCCUCCCACUCGCCCCCACUCUCGCCCUCGGUUCCUGCGCCUCUCCCUCCUCCCUCGGAUCCACCUCGCCCUCUCCUUCCCUACCGCAUCCGAGCGCCACCGCCGCCAUGGCUCCGGUCUAGCCACGGCCACUGUGCCCACCUCGCCGCUCCACUGUGUCCCCGAGGUCCGCCGUCGUCCGCUGCUUCGACUGGUGCACUCCGUUGGAGCUCGGAGCCACCGCAACGCCCACGACGCCGCCGUCUUCCUCCUCUGCUCCGACGAGCUUCACCGCCGAUUCCGCCGCACCGAGCCCUCCUCGAGCACGCUUGAGCACACCUGCAGGAGCACUGUGAGCUCCGCCCCCUUCUCCCCUCUCCUCGCGCUUCUCUUCUUGCCCCGUAGCUGCUCCCACCGUCGUGCCCGAGCUCGUCGCCGCGGUGGUGCUCACCGCCAUGGCCACGGCCCGCAGAGCUCGCGGCCGACCACCCCGCCGUGCUCAGCACCUCCGCCCGCGCCCACUGCACGCGCCCGCUGCUCCUCCCGCUCCCCCUGGCGCCGUCCUCGACGCGCCAGUGCUUCGGCCGCCGCCGCGAGCUCGUCUCCGGUGAGCUCGUCGCCUCCCGCCUACUGCCGACUGCGGCAGUGGAUGGGCGCGAGCACCAGCCGCCCGUAGAGCCGCUCCGCGCGGCAAGCCGUGUCCCGAAGCCCCAUCGCCGUCGAGCGCCCAAAGGCCACCGCCGCCCGUGCUCCACGCCGACACCGUUUCCGGCCGCCCCGGGGCCGGCCACCACCGCGGUUAGCUGCGGCUCGCCGCUCCCAUUCGAACGGCGUCGGCCGCGUCCAAUUUGGCCGCCGAACGGCGAAUCCUGACGCACGGCCGCACCCUCCGCCGCGUUUUGGCUCGCCGGAGCCAACUCCGGCGCCGGCCGCCGACGUGGCUGGCCUGGGGCCACCCCAGAGCCACUGCCAGUGGGCCCCAUGGGUCCCGUUGACCCAGUCAGAUGCUGACUGGGCAGCGCCCAGUCACUGCAUGUGGGCCCCGCGUGGGCCCUGUUGACCAGUCAACUGGUCUGUUGACCGCUGAUGCAGGGCUGACGCCAGGAUGACGUCACAAUUCAUUAUCUGACGAAUUUAGUAAUUAAAAAAAAUUUCAGAAUAUUGCUGAACCUUUGGAAAAUCGUAGAAAAUAAACCGUAGCUCGGAUGAAAAAACUUUGUACAUGAAAGUUGCUCAGAACGAUGAGACGAAACCAAAUACGCGGUCCGUUUGUCAGCCACACGUUCCUAGCAUAGCGAACAUGGAACUUUCCCCCUCCGGUCCGUCUGUCCGUAAACGCGAAACAUCGGGAAUACUUUCCCGGAUGUUUCCCCCCUUCGUCGGUAUCACCUACUGCCGCGUUAGGACACACCUCGCACUGUUCAUUGUCAUGUCACGCAUCGUCAUGCUUAUGUUUGCAUUGUAUUUACUGUUUCUUCCCCCCUCUUCUCCCCGGUAGACUACGAGACCGACGCUGCUGCUGCCGAGUUCGACUACGGAGUUGACGACCCCUCCUUGCCAGAGCAACCAGGCAAGGCCCCCCCUUGAUCACCAGAUAUCGCCUAUUCUUCUCUAUACUGCUUGCAUUAGAGUAGUGUAGCAUGUUACUGCUUUCCGUUAAUCCUAUCCUGAUGCAUAGCCUGUCAUUGUUGCUACAGUUGUUACCCUUACCUGCUAUCCUACUGCUUAGUAUAGGAUGCUAGUGUUCCAUCAGUGGCCCUACACUCUUGUCCGUCUGCCAUGCUAUACUAUCGGGCCGUGAUCACCUGGGCGGUGAUCACGGGUAUAUACUUAUAUACUCUAUACAUGACACAUGUGGUAAAUAAAGUCGGGUCGGCUCGUAGGAGUACCCGCAAGUGGAUCUUUGUGGCGGAGCGACAGGGCAGGUUGAGACCGCCUAGGUGAGAGGUGGGCCUGGCCCUGGACGGCGUCCGCGGUUACUUCGACAUAACACGCUUAACGAGUUCUUGGUAUUUGAUCUGAGUCUGGCCAUUUGGUCUAUACGCACUAACCAUCUACGCGGGAGUAGUUAUGGGUAUCCCGGCGUCGUGGUAUCAGCCGAAGCCUUCGUGACGUCAGCGACUGAGUGGCGCGCCGGAUUGGACUGGAACGCCACUAGGCUAGGUCUGCUUCCGGCCGCGUACGCAACGUGCAGGUGUGCAUAGGGCGAUGGGCCCAGACCCCUGCGCGCAUAGGGUUAGACCGGCGUGCUGACCUCUCUGUUGUGCUUAGGUGGGGCUGCGACGUGUUGAUCUUCCGAGGCCGGGCAUGACCCAGAAAAGUGUGUCCGGCCAAAUGGGAUCAAGCGUGUUGGGUUAUGUGGUGCACCCCUGCAGGGAAGUUUAUCUAUUCGAAUAGCCGUGUCCCUCGGUAAAAGGACGACCCGGAGUUGUACCUUGACCUUAUGACAACUAGAACCGGAUACUAAAUAAAAUACACCCUUCCAAGUGCCAGAUACAACCCGGUGACCGCUCUCUAACAGGGCGACGAGGAGGGGAUCGCCGGGUAGGAUUAUGCUAUGCGAUGCUACUUGGAGGACUUCAAUCUACUCUCUUCUACAUGCUGCAAGAUGGAGAUGGCCAAAAGCGUAGUCUUCGACAGGACUAGCUAUCCCCCUUUUAUUCUGGCAUUCUGCAAUUCAGUCCACUGAUAUGCCCCUUUACACAUAUACCCAUGCAUAUGUAGUGUAGCUCCUUGCUUGCGAGUACUUUGGAUGAGUACUCACGGUUGCUUCUCUCCCUCUUUUCCCCUUUUCCUUUCUAUCUGGUUGUCGCAACCAGAUGCUGGAGUCCAGGAGCCAGAUGCCACCGUCGACGACGACACCUACGACACUGGAGGUGCCUACUACUACGUGCAGCCCGCUGACGACGACCAGGAGUAGUUAGGAGGAUCCCAGGCAGGAGGCCUGCGCCUCGUUCGAUCUGUAUCCCAGUUUGUGCUAGCCUUCUUAAGGCAAACUUGUUUAACUUAUGUCUGUACUCAGAUAUUGUUACUUCCGCUGACUCGUCUGUGAUCGAGUACUUGUAUUCGAGCCCUCGAGGCCCCUGGCUUGUAUUAUGAUGCUUGUAUGACUUAUUUAUGUUUUAGAGUUGUGUUGUGAUAUCUUCCCGUGAGUCCCUGAUCUUGAUCGUACACAUUGCGUGCAUGAUUAGUGUACGGUCAAAUCGGGGGCGUCACAAACAGAGUGCUGAACUUCAAUCCCCAAAGCUAUGCAAUAAUCAUUGAAAGCACGUGAGGAAAAUUCUGCAGCAUUGUCCAUUCGAAUUGACUUAAUUUGACUUUCUGGAUAAUGGGCUUGCAACUUAAUGACUUGCCUCAUUACCUUGGCAAAUGCAUGGUUCCAUGUGGAUAGAAGACAUACAUACGACCAUCGUGUAGAUGCGUCAAUCAGAACCAUGAAAUACCUGAAAGGUCCAGAUAAUGGUUGAAUGGGACCACAAAUAUCUCCUUGAAUACGUUCAAGGAACUGAAGGGUUCAGCUUCUAUUUUGAGGUGCGAGGGCCUCAAAAUUAGCUUUCCUGUGGCACAAGAUGUGCACACAAAAUCUGAAGAUUGAGGAAAUUUUGACUCAAGCAAAUUAUGACCAAUGGAAUUGCUAGUAAUUUUUCUCAUCAUCCCGAUUACGGAAUGGCCUAGGCGAUCAUGCCAGGUUUGGAAUGCAUUAACAUUCUAAAAAAAUACUUUGUAUGCAACAUGUUCCACGGUUUUGAUGUACGUAUAGUACAAACCAGACGAUAGAGAAGGAAUUUUCUGAUGUACCUUUUUUCCAUAUCCGUGAUCUUUAGUAAAGAGUAGAUACUCCUCUUUGUUGUCUUCAUGGAUUUCAAUGUGAAAACCAUUUUUAUGGAUAUCUCGAUAACUGAUCAGGGUACAUGAGGAAUCGAGAUACAAUAAAGCAUCCUCAAUUGUCAGUUGUGUACCACUUGGGAGGGUGAAUAUGGCACGUCCAGUACCAACAAUCACUGUAUCGCGUCCAGCGAUAGUUAGAAUAUCUCCAUUCAUUUUUUUCAGAGUUUGGAAAUAUUCCAUCCCCCUCGGUAUGGAGUUUGUGAUACCACUGUCCACAAGGCAUAAUUAUUCCCGUAGAGAACUGCGGCGAGUGCUCCUUCCCUCCCUUCUUUCUCUUUUGCUCUUCGCUGGUUUUUCUACAUGCGUGAUAAUGUGUUCGAAGUAACAAUGGAAACUUCUGUCCUCGGUCAAUGGUUACAUGACCCUUAUAAACAAUCUAGAAGAACGCGACGAUCCAACAACGAGGAGAUGUCGGUUCCAGGGAGACUUGGGGGAGAGGAAUCCGUUGCGGGAGAGAUCGCAACGGCCUGUAUGGGCAAGGGGAGAUUUUCCCAAAUUAUAAUUAAUCUUAACAAACAGGAUUCUCCAUUUCCUGAGGUGGAGAGCACCAACCUCCAAAUCUCAGGUGACAUGUAUCUUCAGAAUUUCAACGAUCUAUUUAUGUUUGUAUUGUGAUGCUUGUAUGACUUAUUUAUGUUUUAGAGUUGUGUUGUGAUAUCUUCCCGUGAGUCCCUGAUCUUGAUCGUACACAUUGCGUGCAUGAUUAGUGUACGGUUAAAUCGGGGGCGUCACAAGUUGGUAUCAGAGCCGAAUGCCUGUAGGAAUCCCCCUUUCCACACUCCUUGGCCGAAGUCGAGUCUAGACAUUACAAAACUUUUACUAACAUGGUUGUGUGGCUUACGGGCCCACGUCGCCAUUGGGUGGUACUAGGAUCUUUUACUCCUCGACCUUUACUCUGGGACUCUGAACUCUCUUCUACUCGGGUUAAACGAAUUUACUAACUCUAUCACUAGGAUCCCGUGACCGCAUUCACCCCAAAGUUGGAUAAGCCAUAGUUGUUUCUUAGAAUAUUAUUUUGAACAAUUCACACACUGUCAUUUGACUCCUUUGAAACGUCUUUGCUUUCAGGUGGAACCCACGAGGCAGGUCGUGCGCCACACGACGGCCAUUGGUGCCUCGGGAUCACCGGCUGUGCUAGCUGAGAUGAUGACCUAUCUGGGUUAUCGCUGGCACCCUGAGUACGCCGUCUACGAGGAGUACCAGGACUUUAACCAGGAGCAGUACCGUGCCAUCGUCCACCUCUACUCGCGGGAGUAUGACUCCACUACUGUGCUGCACACCGCUCAUGGUGUUGGUGUGACCAUCGAUAUGGCUGUCCACGAUGCUGCCUAUGCUACUCUGACACGUCUUCGUGGAGAGUAUCGGGAGUUGGACACCUCCCCUUUCAGGCACAUUGCUAUCACAUCUGAUGUUGGUGCGGAGGGAUACUAUACUGCUGCCUAGUCCACUGUCACCCGAGAGCCCUUCUACCAUCAGAACCUGGUUCUGCAUGCUGAUGGGCUGGAUCGAGCUAACCGAGCUCUUCGCCACGAGAUGUACACCACCCGUCAGCACCUUUACCGUGCUCUGACGCUGCUGCACCCCUUUGUCCGAUCUGGACAGCUACCGCGUACUGCGAUCUACCCAGCCAGGACCGUGAUGCCCCACGGUGUCGGUUGGCCAGAGGUGGGAGGCUACUCUCCCGCACUUGGUCCUCUUCUGCCACCUGAGCGUCGGGCUCUACACCUGAGUAUCCGCGGCCCCAAGUCUGCUGACGUGGAGGGCUAUCCGUUGCCUCACUACCAGCUGUCGGACUACAAUUACCUCCACAGUACCUCUUGGGACUGAUGUAGGCUUGCUUGUAGUGUUAGAUGCAUUCGCCGCGAGCCUGUGUGCCGCCUAUGUUGUUUUAGUCUAUGUACUGAACUCUGUGUACUGAACUCUAUGCAUGACCCCUUUUGUAAGUUAUGCCGACUACUAUGUAGUAGCUAUCGUGCUCCUUUCAUUAUGCAUGUUUCAUCAUGAAUGAUUCUUGUCUUUGCAAAUUUCUCAAUGCUGAACUACCCCUGUUAUAUAUUAGCAGGAUGGUUAGACCAGGUGGUCGUGGUGGCAAUGCCCCACCACCACCUGAGUACAUGGCUGGUAUGAUCCAACAGUUCGAACUGAACCGCCAGUUCAUGGAAAAUAUGACGGCUCAGUUUCCUCGCCCCAAUAUGGACCAGCAACCAACCCCAGUAACUCUGCAGGAUUUCAUGCGCCUCAAUCCAACGGUGUACCGCAGCUCAACUCAGCCUCUGGAUGCUGAUGACUGGCUCCGUGACAUCACCUAUGAGAUGGAGUCUGCCGAUGUAGCCCCUGCCAGCUAUGUCAACUUUGCUUCCUUCUUUCUGAAGGGACCCGCAGCUCAAUGAUGGGACAGCCACAGGCGUACACUGCCAGCUGGAACAAUCAUCACCUGGCCAGACUUCCAAGCAGCUUUCCGUGCCCGCUUCAUUCCUCAGGGAGUCAUGGACCGGAAGAAGCGUGAGUUCCGCAACCUCACCCAAGGCAACAAAACUGUUGAAGCUUAUCAGCGGGAGUUUCUGGACUUGUCUCGCUAUGCUGAAGAGGACAUUGCAACUGAUGCACGCAGACAGGAGAAGUUCCGUGAUGGCCUUCAAGCUGACAUCAAGCUCGCACUUCUAGUGCAUGACUUUGCUGAUUUCGCCACCUUGGUGAACAAGGCCAUCAAUGUCGAAACUGGUCUACAGGAAUACCAGGGCUCUCACAGGCACAACCGUGACACGGGCUCAUCUUCGGGCCCGCCCUCACAGAAGCGUAAGAUAUGGAUCCCGAACAGCAUGUACCGUCCAAAUGCAUCUGCCCCAAGGCAGACCUAUGCUGCACCUCGUCUGCCUCCACCACCAUCUAGGCAAUCAAGACUUCCAGCUCCACAGUCACAAGCUCCCGUUCCCACUCCCAAUAAUGGCUUGUGCUUCAGGUGUGGUCAACCAGGACACCGUGCUAGAGAAUGCAACCAGAACCAGAAUCAACUGGCCCUUCCAGCAACUGGCCGUGGUAACAACCAGCCCCGCAACAACAAUGCUAAGUCUUAUGGUCGUGCUCAUGCCAACCACGUUGAUCUCAACGAAGCUCAAGACCAGCCUGCUACUGUGAUGGGUACACUCCUCGUAAAUUCAGUACCAGCAUCCGUUUUAUUUGAUACAGGUGCAUCGCAUUCAUUCAUGUCAGAAGAUUUUGCAUACAAGCACGACGUUAAAUGUGAGGAGAUGAACACCUCGGUAUUGGUCAAAACCCCCGUGGGACAGUGUCAAACCUCCCUGGUUGGAAUCGAUGUCCCCGUGGAAAUCGAAGGGCUGGAAUUCUAUGCCUCUCCCAUUAUCCUGAAGUCGUCUAACAUCGACCUCAUUUUGGGGAUGGAUUGGUUGAAGGCGCAUACUGCUUCUAUAGUUUGUGCCACUAAGAUCGUUCAUCUACUUCACCCUUCUGAUGAAAUAGUUGCUUACCAAGCUCAUCUGGUGCAAAAUGCCGAGGCCAGGCUCUAUGCAUUGAAUGCAUUGAACGCUGCACCACUCGAGGGCAUUGAAAACAUUCCCGUCGUGCGUGAAUUCCUCGACGUCUUCCCUGAAGAACUUCCAGGGAUUCCCCCUGCUAGAGCUGUCGAAUUCAUCAUCGACUUGAAACCAGGCACCACUCCUAUAGCCAAGCGACCCUACAAAAUGCCGCCGCAUGAACUCCUUGAGCUUAAGGAGGAAAUCAACAAUUCUCUUCGCAAAGGAUUCAUUCGCCCAAGUUGCUCUCAUUGGGGAGCACCUUCUCUCUUUGUCAAGAAGAAGGAUGGGACAAACCGAUUAGUUCAAGACUACCAUCCUAUAAACCAAGCUACCAUUCAGAAUAAAUACCCUCUUCCUCGGAUCAAUGAUCUGUAUGAUCAACUGGCGGGUUCGUCAGUGUUCUCUAAGCUCGACUUGAGGUUGGGUUACCACCAGAUCCGUGUUCGCGAAGAGGAUAUCCCAAAGACCGCCUUCGUGACUCGCUAUGGUUCAUAGAGUACACCGUCAUGUCUUUCGGUUUAACCAAUGCUCCAGCCACCUUCUCUCGUCUGAUGAACUAUAUAUUCAUGGAUUACCUUGACAAGUUCGUCGUGGUUUAUCUGGAUGAUAUCCUGGUAUUUUCCAAGAACGAAGAAGAACAUGCUGAACAUCUUCGACUUGUGCUGGAAAAGCUACGAGAGCAUCAACUAUAUGCCAAGUUCUCCAAAUGUGAAUUCUGGCUACCCGAAGUAACCUAUCUUGGGCAUGUCAUCUCUAAGGAUGGUAUUGCCGUCAACCCUGAACGAGUCCAGGCUAUCCUUGAUUGGACUCCUCCCAAGAACGUUAAGCAAGUCAGAAGUUUUCUCGGUCUCGCCAGCUAUUGCCGUCGAUUCGUCGAGAACUUCUCCAAGAUCGCCAGGCCUCUGACUAACCUGUUGCAUAAGGGCGUCAAGUUCCAAUGGACAGACAAAUGUCAGGAGAGUUUCCAGGUACUCAAGGACAAGUUGACUUCUGCCCCAGUUCUAGCUCCACCUGAUACUAAGAAGGACUUCGUCAUUUACUGCGACGCUUCCCGUCAAGGAUUAGGCUGUGUCCUAAUGCAAGACCGCAAAGUGAUUGCUUAUGCCUCUCCGCAAUUGCACCCUCACGAAGAGAACUACCCAGUUCACGACCUCGAACUUGCUGUUGUCAUUCAUGCGCUGAAGCAGUGGCGACAUUACCUUCUCGGUAAUCGUUGCGAGAUCUUCACUGACCACCAAAGUCUGAAGUAUCUGUUUACUCAGCCAGACCUGAUCCUCCGUCAGCAGAGAUGGCUGGAGCUUGUUGUAGACUUUGACUUGGGUAUUUCCUAUACGCCAGGCAAGGCUAAUGUAAUGGCUGAUGCCUUGAGCCGCAAGUCUUACUGCAACCACCUCCAGGUUCACAAAGUUCAGCCCUCGCUUGUUGAAGAAUUCAGGAAGCUGAACCUCCAUAUUGUUCCUCCGGGUGCACUCGCCCCCCCUCCUAAGGAGUUUGGCAAGAUGAACCUCCACGUUGUUACCCAGGGUUCCCUCAAUACCCUAGUUGCUAAACCAGAUCUCGUGGACAGCAUCAAAAGGCUACAGAGGUAUGACUCUGAAGCCCACAAGAUUAAGCGCUACCUCGCAGAAGGAAAGCCCUCAUUCUUCACUAUUGCUGAAGAUGGCACUUUAUACUUCAAGGGGCGCCUAGUGGUGCCAUGUGCAGAGAAAAACCUGGAUAUGACACAGGAAGUUAUGAAAGAAGCUCAUGAUACGCCUCUAUGUAUCCACCCUGGUAGUACAAAGAUGUACCAAGACAUCCGUCAGAGAUUCUGGUGGUCUAAUAUGAAGCAAGACAUUGCUCGUUAUGUUGCUGAGUGUGACGUUUGCCGUCGUAUCAAAGCAGAACAUCAAAGACCUGCUGGAACUCUGCAACCUAUCUCUAUUCCUGAAUGGAAAUGGGACCAUGUUGAGAUGGACUUCGUCACUGGAUUUCCCAAAUCACAGAAAGGUAAUGAUGCUAUUCUUGUCGUCAUUGACCGGCUUUCCAAAGUUGCACAUUUCCUGGCGGUCAAAGAAACGAUCACUGCUAGUCAGCUGGCAACGCUCUAUAUGUCUAGGAUUGUUUCACUCCACGGUAUUCCAUUGGUUAUCAGCUCAGACCGUGGCAGCUUAUUCACUUCAAGAUUCUGGGCAAGUUUCCAAGAAGCUAUGGGAACUCAUCUGUCAUUCAGUACUGCAUUUCAUCCUCAGUCGCAAGGGCAAGUUGAACGCGUCAACCAAGUUCUCGAAGACAUGCUUCGAGCUUGUGUUAUUUCCUUCGGCAAGAAAUGGGAGGAAUCUCUCCCGUAUGCUGAGUUCUCUUAUAAUAAUAGCUAUCAAGCUAGUCUGAAGAUGGCCCCCUUCGAAGUGUUAUAUGGACGAAAGUGCCGAACCCCUCUGAACUGGUCAGAAACUGGGGAACGUCCACUCUUUGGUCCGGAUAUUAUCCAACAUGCCGAAAAACAAGUCCGCAUUAUUCGUGAGAAUCUCAAGACUGCUCAGUCACAUCAGAAGAGUCAGUAUGACCGUCAUCAUAAAGACAUGGUCUAUCAACCUGGCGAAAAGGCUUAUCUUCGAGUCACACCAAUGAAGGGUGCUCACCGCUUUGGAAUCAAGGGCAAACUAGCUCCUCGCUAUAUUGGCCCAUUCACUAUUCUCGAAAGGCGUGGUAAAGUGGCAUACCAACUGGAGCUACCGCCGAACCUUUCUCAGGUUCACGAUGUGUUCCAUGUGUCACAGCUCCGCCGUUGCUUCAAGGACCCAAUCCGAGCUGUGGAUCAUGAAGUGCUCGAAUUGCAGCAGGACCUCUCCUAUAAGGAGCAUCCGGUCCGCAUUCUCGACCAAGCUGAACGCCGCACACGUCAGAAGGCGAUCAAGUUCCUCAAAGUCCAGUGGUCGCACCAUUCUGAGGAUGAAGCCACUUGGGAACGGGAGGAUCGUCUGCGCGAAGAAUACCCCACGCUUUUCCCUUCUACCUCCUAAAUCUCGGGACGAGAUUUCUUGUAGUGGAGGAAUUUUGUAACGCCCGGAUAAUCAAGCUACAGUAAUCCCACGCUAAUGGUUCCACGUCACCACGGUUACUUUGCUAAUCUACCGUUAGGUCAAACCGUUUAAAAAUUCAAAUUCAAAUUUAUGUCAACGAUAAAAGUUUUUCAAAAUUUAAAACAAAAAUGUUCGGGAGAUGCCAUAUUUUGCAUAAGUAAAUAUGGUGUAGUAAACUCAUUUUUAUAAAAUUCCUAAGUAAAUUAAAUUGAAAUAAAACAGAAAAGAAAAUAAAUAAAAGAAAGAAAAUACAAAAGAGAAAACAAACAGAAAAAAAGGAAAAGGAGCCCCCCCCACUGGACCCUGGCCCAACUGGGCCAACCCCCAGGCCCAGCCGGCCUGGCCCACCUCGCUCGGUCGCUCCCUUCCCUUCCCUGUUCCCCCGACCGGGGUCGGAACAGGGGCACGUCCCCGCCGCACCACCUCGCCGGCGACGGGGGAGGAUAAGGCCGCCACGCCCCGCCUCCUCGAUCACGCCUCCCACUCGCCCCACUCUCGCCCUCGGUUCCUGCGCCUCUCCCUCCUCCCUCGGAUCCACCUCGCCCUCUCCUUCCCCACCGCAUCCGAGCGCCACCGCCGCCAUGGCUCCGGCCUAGCCACGGCCACUGUGCCCACCUCGCCGCUCCACUGUGUCCCCGAGGUCCGCCGUCGUCCGCUGCUUCGACUGGUGCACUCCGUUGGAGCUCGGAGCCACCGCAACGCCCACGACGCCGCCGUCUUCCUCCUCUGCUCCGACGAGCUUCGCCGCCGAUUCCGCCGCACCGAGCCCUCCUCGAGCACGCUUGAGCACACCUGCAGGAGCACUAUGAGCUCCGCCCCCUUCUCCCCUCUCCUCGCGCUUCUCUUCUUGCCCCGUAGCUGCUCCCACCGUCGUGCCCGAGCUCGUCGCCGCGGUGGUGCUUGCCGCCAUGGCCACGGCCCGCAGAGCUCGUGGCCGACCACCCCGCCGUGCUCAGCACCUCCGCCCGCGCCCACUGCACGCGCCCGCUGCUCCUCCCGCUCCCCCUGGCGCCGUCCUCGACGGGCCAGUGCUUCGGCCGCCGCCGCGAGCUCGUCUCCGGUGAGCUCGUCGCCUCCCGCCUACUGCCGACUGCGGCAGUGGAUGGGCGCGAGCACCAGCCGCCCGUAGAGCCGCUCCGCGCGGCAAGCCGUGUCCCGAAGCCCCAUCGCCGUCGAGCGCCCGAAGGCCACCGCCGCCCAUGCUCCACGCCGACGCCGUUUCCGGCCGCCCCGGGGCCGGCCACCACCGCGGUUAGCUGCGGCUCGCCGCUCCCAUUCGAACGGCGUCGGCCGCGUCCAAUUUGGCCGCCGAACGGCGAAUCCCGACGCACGGCUGCACCCUCCGCCGCGUUUUGGCUCGCCGGAGCCAACUCCGGCGCCGGCCGCCGACGUGGCUGGCCUGGGGCCACCCCAGAGCCAGUGCCAGUGGGCCCCAUGGGUCCCGUUGACCCAGUCAGAUGCUGACUGGGCAGCGCCCAGUCACUGCAUGUGGGCCCCGCGUGGGCCCUGUUGACCAGUCAACUGGUCUGUUGACCGCUGAUGUAGGGUUGACGCCAGGAUGAUGUCACAAUUCAUUUUCUGACGAAUUUAGUAAUUAAAAAAAAUUUCAGAAUAUUGCUGAACCUUUGGAAAAUCGUAGAAAAUAAACCGUAGCUCGGAUGAAAAAACUUUGUACAUGAAAGUUGCUCAGAACGACGAGACGAAACCGAAUACGCGGUCCGUUUGUCAGCCACACGUUCCUAGCAUAGCGAACAUGGAACUUUCCCCCUCCGGUCCGUCUGUCCGUAAACGCGAAACAUCGGGAAUAUUUUCCCGGAUGUUUCCCCCCUUCGUCGGUAUCACCUACUGCCGCGUUAGGACACACCUCGCACUGUUCAUUGUCAUGUCACGCAUCGUCAUGCUUAUGUUUGCAUUGUAUUUACUGUUUCUUCCCUCCUCUUCUCCCCGGUAGACUACGAGACCGACGCUGCUGCUGCCGAUUUCGACUACGGAGUUGACGACCCCUCCUUGCCAGAGCAACCAGGCAAGGCCCCCCCUUGAUCACCAGAUAUCGCCUAUUCUUGUCUAUACUGCUUGCAUUAGAGUAGUGUAGCAUGUUACUGUUGGGAAUCGUAGCAUAAUUUAAAAUUUUCCUACGCUCACCAAGAUGCAUCUAUGGAGUCUACUAGCAACGAGGGGAUAGGAGUGCAUCUACAUACCCUUGUAGAUCGCGAGCGGAAGCGUUCCAAUGAACGUGGAUGACGGAGUUGUACUCGCCGUGAUCCAAAUCACCGAUGACAGAGUGUCGAACGGACGGCACCUCCGCGUUCAACACACGUACGGUGCAGCGACGUCUCCUCCUUCUUGAUCCAGCAAGGGGAAAGGAGAGGUUGAUGGAGAUCCAACAGCACGACGGCGUGGUGGUGGAUGUAGCGGGUCUCCGGCAGGGCUUCGCCAAGCUUCUGCGAGAGAGAGAGAGGUGUUGCAGGGGAGGAGGGAGGCGCCCAAGGCUGUCGGUUGCUGCCCUCCCUCCCCCCCACUUUAUAUAGGCCCCCUUGGGAGGGGGGGCGGCCAAAACCCAUCUAGGGUUAGGGGGGCGGCGGCCAAGGGGUGGAAAGGGGUGCCUUGCCCCCCAAGGCAAGGGGGAAGCUCCCCCCCUAGGGUUCCCAACCCUAGGCGCAUGGGGGGAGACCCAAGGGGGGCGCCCCAGCCCACUAAGGGCUGGUUCCCUUCCACUUUCAGCCCACGGGGCCCUCCGGGAUAGGUGGCCCCACCUGGUGGACCCCCGGGACCCUUCCGGUGGUCCCGGUACAAUACCGGUAACCCCCGAAACUUUCCCGGUGGCCGAAACUUGACUUCCUAUAUAUAAUUCUUCACCUCCGGACCAUUCCGGAACCUCUCGUGACGUCCGGGAUCUCAUCCGGGACUCCGAAAAACUUUCGGGUUUCCGCAUACAUAUAUCUCUACAACCCUAGCGUCACGGGACCUUAAGUGUGUAGACCCUACGGGUUCGGGAGACAUGCAGACAUGACCGAGACGCCUCUCCGGUCAAUAACCAACAGCGGGAUCUGGAUACCCAUGUUGGCUCCCACAUGUUCCACGAUGAUCUCAUCGGAUGAACCACGGUGUCGAGGAUUCAAUCAAUCCGUAUGCAAUUCACUUCGUCAAUCGGUAUGUUACUUGCCCGAGAUUCGAUCGUCGGUAUCCCAAUACCUUGUUCAAUCUCGUUACCGGCAAGUCUCUUUACUCGUACCGCAAUGCAUGAUCCCGUGACUAAAGCCUUAGUCACAUUGAGCUCAUUAUGAUGAUGCAUUAUCGAGUGGGCCCAGAGAUACCUCUCCGUCACACGGAGUGACAAAUCCCAGUCUCGAUCCGUGCCAACCCAACAGACACUUUCGGAGAUACCCGUAAUGCACCUUUAUAGUCACCCAGUUACGUUGUGACGUUUGGCACACCCAAAGCACUCCUACGGUAUCCGGGAGUUGCACAAUCUCAUGGUCUAAGGAAAAGAUACUUGACAUUGGAAAAGUUCUAGCAAACGAAACUACACGAUCUUUUAUGCUAUGCUUAAGAUUGGGUCUUGUCCAUCACAUCAUUCUCCUAAUGAUGUGAUCCCGUUAUCAAUGACAUCCAAUGUCCAUAGUCAGGAAACCAUGACUAUCUAUUGAUCAACGAGCUAGUCAACUAGAGGCUUACUAGGGACACUUUGUGGUCUAUGUAUUCACACAUGUAUUACGAUUUCCGGACAAUACAAUUAUAGCAUGAACAAUAGACAAUUACCAUGAACAAAGAAAUAUAACAAUAACCAUUUAUUAUUGCCUCUAGGGCAUAUUUCCAACAGUCUCCCACUUGCACUAGAGUCAAUAAUCUAGUUACAUUGUGAUGAAUCGAACACCCAUUGUGUCCUGGUGUUGAUCAUGUUUUGCCCUAGGGAGAGGUUUAGUCAAUGGAUCUGCUACAUUCAGGUCCGUGUGUACUUUACAAAUAUCUAUGUCUCCAUUUUGAACACUUUCACGAAUGGAGUUGAAGCGACGCUUGAUAUGCCUGGUUUUCCUGUGAAACCUGGGCUCCUUCACAAGGGCAAUAGCUCCAGUGUUGUCACAGAAGAGAGUCAUUGGGCCCGACGCAUUGGGAAUCACCCCUAGGUCGGUAAUGAACUCCUUCAUCCAGACUGCUUCCUGUGUUGCCUCCGAGGCUGCCAUGUACUCCGCUUCACAUGUAGAUCCCGCCACGACGCUUUGGUUGCAACUGCACCAGCUUACUGCUCCUCCAUUCAAAAUAUACACGUAUCCGGUCUGUGACUUCGAGUCAUCCAGAUCUGUGUCGAAGCUAGCGUCGACGUAACCCUUUACGACGAGCUCUUCAUCACCUCCAUAAACGAGAAACAUAUCCUUAGUCCUCUUCAGGUACUUCAGGAUAUUCUUGACCGUUGUCCAGUGUUCCUUGCCGGGAUUACUUUGGUACCUUCCUACCAAACUUACGGCAAGGUUUACAUCAGGUCUGGUACACAGCAUGGCAUACAUAAUAGACCCUAUGGCCGAGGCAUAGGGGAUGACACUCAUCUCUUCUAUAUCUUCUGCCGUGGUCGGGCAUUGAGCCGUGCUCAAUUGCACACCUUGCAAUACAGGCAAGAACCCCUUCUUGGACUGAUCCAUACUGAACUUCUUCAAUAUCUUGUCAAGGUAUGUACUCUGUGAAAGACCAAUGAGGCGUCUUGAUCUAUCUCUAUAGAUCUUGAUGCCUAAUAUAUAAGCAGCUUCUCCAAGGUCCUUCAUUGAAAAACACUUAUUCAAAUAGGCCUUUAUACUUUUCAAGAAUUCUAUAUCAUUUCCCAUCAAUAGUAUGUCAUCCACAUAUAAUAUGAGAAAUGCUACGGAGCUCCCACUCACUUUCUUGUAAACACAGGCUUCUCCAUAAGUCUGUGUAAACCCAAAUGCUUUGUUCAUCUCAUCAAAGCGAAUGUUCCAACUCCGAGAUGCUUGCACCAGCCCAUAGAUUGAGCGCUGGAGCUUGCACACUUUGUUAGCAUUCUUAGGAUCGACAAAACCUUCCGGCUGCAUCAUAUACAACUCUUCCUUAAGGAAGCCGUUAAGGAAUGCCGUUUUGACGUCCAUCUGCCAUAUCUCAUAAUCAUAGUAUGCGGCAAUUGCUAACAUGAUUCGGACGGACUUCAGCUUCGCUACGGGUGAGAAAGUCUCAUCGUAGUCAACCCCUUGAACUUGUCGAUAACCCUUAGCGACAAGUCGAGCUUUGUAGAUGGUCACAUUACCAUCCGCGUCCGUCUUCUUCUUAAAGAUCCAUUUGUUUUCUAUGGCUCGCCGCUCAUCGGGCAAGUCAGUCAAAGUCCAUACUUUGUUUUCAUACAUGGAUCCUAUCUCGGAUUUCAUGGCUUCUAGCCAUUUGUCGGAAUCCGGGCCCGCCAUCGCUUCUUCAUAGUUCGAAGGUUCACCGUUGUCUAACAACAUGAUUUCCAGGACAGGGUUGCCGUACCACUCUGGUGCGGAACGUGUCCUUGUGGACCUACGAAGUUCAGUAACUUGAUCUGAAGCUUCAUGAUCAUCAUCAUUAACUUCCUCCCCAGUCGGUGUAGGCACCACAGGAACAUUUUCCCGCGCUGCGCUACUUUCCGGUUCGGAAGGGGUGACUAUCACCUCAUCAAGUUCCACUUUCCUCCCACUCAAUUCUUUCGAGAGAAACUCCUUCUCUAGAAAGGACCCGUUCUUGGCACCGAAGAUCUUGCCUUCGGAUCUGAGGUAGAAGGUAUACCCAAUAGUUUCCUUAGGGUAUCCUAUGAAGACGCAUUUUUCCGAUUUGGGUUCGAGCUUUUCAGGUUGAAGUUUCUUGACAUAAGCAUCGCAUCCCCAAACUUUUAGAAACGACAGCUUAGGUUUCUUCCCAAACCAUAAUUCAUACGGUGUCGUCUCAACGGAUUUCGACGGAGCCCUAUUUAAAGUGAAUGCGGCAGUCUCUAAAGCAUAACCCCAAAAUGAGAGCGGUAAAUCGGUAAGAGACAUCAUAGAUCGCACCAUAUCCAAUAGAGUGCGAUUACGACGUUCGGACACACCAUUUCUCUGAGGUGUUCCAGGCGGCGUGAGUUGUGAAACUAUUCCACAUUUCCUUAAGUGUGCACCAAACUCGUGACUUAAAUAUUCUCCACCACGAUCUGAUCGUAAGAAUUUUAUUUUCCUGUCACGUUGAUUCUCAACUUCACUCUAAAAUUCCUUGAACUUUUCAAAGGUUUCAGACUUGUGUUUCAUUAGGUAGACAUACCCAUAUCUACUUAAAUCAUCAGUGAGAGUGAGAACAUAACGAUAUCCUCCGCGAGCCUCAAGACUCAUUGGACCGCACACAUUGGUAUGUAUGAUUUCCAAUAAGUUGGUUGCUCGCUCCAUUGUUCCGGAGAACGGAGUCUUGGUCAUCUUACCCAUGAGGCAUGGUUCGCACGUGUCAAAUGAUUCGUAAUCAAGAGACUCCAAAAGUCCAUCUACAUGGAGCUUCUUCAUGCGCUUGACACCAAUGUGACCAAGGCGGCAGUGCCACAAGUAUGUGGGACUAUCGUUAUCAACUUUACAUCUUUUGGUAUUCACACUAUGAACAUGUGUAACAUCACGUUCGAGAUUCAUCAAAAAUAAACCAUUGACCAGCGGGGCAUGACCAUAAAACAUAUCUCUCAAAUAAAUAGAACAACCAUUAUUCUCGGAUUUAAAUGAGUAGCCAUCUCGAAUUAAACGAGAUCCAGACACAAUGUUCAUGCUCAAAGCUGGCACUAAAUAACAAUUAUUGAGGUUUAAAACUAAUCCCGUGGGUAGAUGCAGAGGUAGCGUGCCGACGGCGAUCACAUCGACCUUGGAACCAUUCCCGACGCGCAUCGUCACCUCGUCCUUUGCCAGUCUCCGUUUGUUCCGUAGUUCCUGCUUUGAGUUACAAAUAUGAGCAACCGCACUGGUAUCAAAUACCCAGGAGCUACUACGAGUACUGGUAAGGUACACAUCAAUUACUUGUAUAUCACAUAUACCUUGGGUGUUGCCGGCCUUCUUCUUGUCCGCUAAAUAUUUGGGGCAGUUUCGCUUCCAGUGACCACUUCCCUUGCAAUAAAAGCACUCAGUCCCGGGCUUGGGUCCAUUCUUUGACUUCUUCCCAGUAACUGGUUUACCGGGCGCGGCAACUCCCUUGUCGUCCUUCUUGAAGUUCUUCUUACCCUUGCCCUUCUUGAACUUGGUGGUUUUAUUCACCAUCAACACUUGAUGUUCUUUUCUGAUCUCCCCUUCCGCUGAUUUCAGCAUUGAAUAUACCUCGGGAAUGGUCUUUUCCAUCCCCUGCAUAUUGGAGUUCAUCACAAAGCUCUUGUAGCUUGGUGGAAGCGACUGGAGGAUUCUGUCAAUGACCGCGUCAUCCGGGAGAUUAACUCCCAGCUGAGACAAGCGGUUGUGCAACCCAGACAUUCUGAGUAUGUGCUCACUAACAGAACUGUUCUCCUCCAUUUUACAGCUGAAGAACUUGUCGGAGACAUCAUAUCUCUCGACCCGGGCAUGAGCUUGAAAAACCAGUUUCAGCUCCUCGAACA
rnacentral:lncRNA from 1 species